rnacentral:lncRNA from 1 species
CUUUUUUAUAAAACAACGCUCUAAAAUUUUAAAAUUUGCGAAACAAUCCUCUCAAAAUUUUAUUUGUAAAACUAAUCCUCUUUUCGCCAAGUCAGCAGCACGUUAGAAUUUCUUUUAAAGGCGGUAAAUCAUUUACCGCGUUCUCCAAUUUUUUUUAAAGACGGUAAAUCGUUCACCGCUUUCUCCGAUUUCUUUUAAAAAUGGUAAAUCAUUCACCGCCUUUCACUUAUUUACUGUUACUUUCUAUAUCUCAUAUAUAAUCCUAACAACAAUAUAAAAAUUCUAACAAAUCACAUAUAAUCUUAACAACCUUUAAAUCCCAAUAAUUUAUCCAUGUAAUUUGCUUUUAUAUGAAAUUAUAUGGAUAAAUUAUUAGAAUUUAAAAGUUGUUAAGAUUAUAUGGAAUAUAGAAAGAAACAGUAAAUAAGUGAAAGGCGGUGAAUGAUUUACCGUCUUUAAAAGAAAUAGGAGAAAGCGGUGAACGAUUCACCGCCUUUAAAAAAAAUAGGUAAAAGCGGAAAACGAUGCACCGCCUUUAAAAGAAAUAAGAGAAAACGGCGAACGAUUCACCGUCUUUAUAAGAAAACCCUGACGUGGCGCCCACGUGGCGAAAGGAGGGUUAGUUUUACAAAUAAAAUUUUUACAUGAUCAUUUUGCCGAUUAUAAUUUUUUAGAGGGUCAUUUUAUAAAAAAAAACCCAAUUGCCCACUCUCUGAAGCGUGAUGUGGACAUUUUUUUUUGGUUUUGUGUUGUUUUAUUAGAGUGAUAAAGAUAACAUGCUAUUUGUUUUGUUCAUUCGAUGAAUAUUUAUUCUAUUAUUUUAUUCCAUCUAUUUAAUGCGAUGAGAUAAAAAGAAGUGCGACAUAGGUGAUAUGCUAGAAGUGAAUUGAAUUGAAUUAACCUUUCGAGGAGAAAUUGGCCAAGGAAUGAACAGCAAUUCGGGUGUCACAAAUUCCAUCCAAUAGUUAUGUCAUGAUUAAAAUUUGAAACUACAGCCAAUCAAUCACUCAGCUACUGUGUCGACAGAACUAAUCCAUUAACAACAGCAACAGGACUAUUGAUAAAUAUCUUAUUUUUCCAUCAACUAACAUAAGAUCGGUUCUCUCAAAAGCAUCACUCUUUCUUCUUCUUCUUCUUCUUCUUCUCUUUCUUUUAAGAGUACCAAGUGUUUUGGGUGGAUAAAAUUGAUUGUGUAGUUAGGCAGCAGUAAGGGCAUAAACUCUUUCUGUCACAAUGCCUUCUUUUUCCUGGACAUUGAAAGGGACUUCCAUCAUUAGGAGAAUUGAAUAGGCAUCCCAAGCAUCGGCGGUGGGACAUGUGAUCAUCACCAUUGUACCAAAUUUCAGCUAAGUCUACGUGACAACAGUCUCUUCUUCAUCGCCACCCCUGAAUCUGAUUGGUUUAUCAAAGUGUCAUGAGACACGAUUGCCGAAGUUUAAUAAACCUCAAGAUUGGACAAAAUAGGAAUGAUUAUAUUGAAAAGGACUCGAUUAGGAUAGGAUUAGGCACAUUUCAACUGCGUUCAAUAUUCCGUAUCAUCAUUAAAUCGCAUCGCAUCGCAUCGCUACUGCCAACUAGUCAAAUAGUUUUGAUUGAGUCACAGUCACAGUUCUAUGAGAACUAAUGCCACAUCUAGUUUUAUUGGGAAAAACAAUUCCAAAUCUAGCAUUCUUUUUAAAAAAAUUUCUAAUCUAGCCUUCUUUUGAUAGAUUAGAAAAUAAAAAUGACUUAAGCAUUUAUAUGUUAAUUAGGAGAGAGAAAAUUUUUCUCUCUCUUUCCUCUCAAUUAAUUCUUAUAAUAAUAACAAUAAUUAAAAAUUAAUAUUUAAUAAUAAUGAUAUUAUUAUUAUUGAAUGAUAAUUUUAUUAUUAUUAUUAUUAUUAUUAUUAUUAUUAUUACUAGCAUUUAGUACAAGUGGUAAAUCACUUGGUGGUUGGUACUUGAAGUUCUGAGUUUGAAUUAUUAUUAUUCUAGCUAAGUUUAUUUGUAAAAAAAAUAAAUGAAGAGGAUAGCACCAUGCUAUCUUUCUGAAAAAAAAAUUUCAAUAAUAAUAAUAUUUAUUAUUAUUAUUAAAUAUUAAUUUUUAAUAAAUAUUAUUAUAACAAAAAUUAAUUAUUUUUAAAUAUUAGCAGGGUGGGAGGAGAGAGAGAAAAAAAAUUUCUCUCUCCAAGUUAGCAUAUAAAUACUAUUAAAAUUAUCUUUUAUUUUCUAAUUAUCAAAAGAAGGCUAGUUUAGAAAUUUUUUUUAAAAGGAGGCUACGUUGGGAAUUUUUUUUUCUAAUAAGGCUAUACAUGGCAUUAGUUCGUUCUAUGAACCACAUGAAUUUGCUACAACACAUCAGCACAAGAAAUACGGCAAUUUGCUGUCUCAAUUAUAAGUUUGAUGCUGCAGGAGAUUAAACCCAAGUUAUGGAAUUACAGUCAAACAGAGUGAAGCCUAGAACCAACACCAGCUGUCAAAAUAGGAAAAGACAACCAACAAGAGAAAGAAAACGAAAACAACCAAUUUAUAUUCUAUCAAUGUAUAUGUAGUUUCCAAUGUUACAGCUUCCAUUAUUAUUACAAUUAUUACAAUUACAUAGAUAUUUAGCACAAAACAAUCACCUUAUGCAGAUAUGUUUAACACACCGUAGCGGUCAAUAAACAGGGAAGGUAUGCACAUAAGCAUGCGGAUGCAGUUAGGACACUUGGGCCCCGUUUAGUUCGAAAAUAAUGAUAAUUUUUUUUAUUCUCGAAAAUAGUUUAUUAUUUCAGAAUAGUUAAGAAUAAAAGUAAAAUCUUAUUUGAUUUGUAAUACUGCUAUUCUAAGAAAUAAUUGAAAUUGUGUUGGUUAAUUUUAUGGAAUAGUAUAGAAUAAUAGAAAAAAAAUAAUGAUUGAAUUUGAUAUAAAUUAUAAUUUAAUAAAUAUAACUUGUUAUAAAAAUAAUUUAUAAAAAUAAAUUAUUUAUUAUAAAAAUAUAUAUAUUUUUUUAAAAAAUCUACUUAAACUUAAAUUAAUAAAAAUAAUUUAUUAUAAUAUUUAAGUAUAUAAAUAAUAUAUCUUAAUUUAGAACAAUUAAUAAUUUUAUAAUAAAAAUAAUUUAUUAUUAUAUAUAACGUAUUAUGAUUUAUGACUACAUAAUUUAGUUUUAAUUCAAUUUAUAAUCUUAAUAAAGUUUGGAGUUAAAUAUUUAAAUCGUACUAUUCUACCAAAAGAUGAAAUUAUUUAUCUAAGCUAUUCCGGAAUAACUAAUUAAGAAUAGAAAGGUUUCACCGAGAUAAAUUAUUCCAGCCAGGAAAAAAUCUAUUUGGCGAAAUAACGGGAAUAACUUUCGUUAUCUCCGGCUUUAUUCCCAAACCAAAUGGAACUUUUUAGGGGUUAUUUGGUUACAUUAAUAUUGUAUUUCGAAUAUAUUUUAAUUUACUUAAGAAAUUAUAGUUUUGGUAGAUGCGAAAUAUGGUCAGACAUUUAAAAUUAAAUAAUGUAUUUUUAUUUUUGUAAUUAAUUUUUUAAAAUAAAAUAAAUCACUUUAUAGAUAAAAUAUGUUAAUCCACGACGAAAUCAUGAAUGGCAAGACCUUUUCAAGAGCAGAAAUUAACUUUUUACAUCUAAUCGAAAAGAGAAAAUUCAUGCUGAAUAAAUUAUUUAAAGAUAACUUAUCCAAUAUCCAAACAAAACCUUAAUAAGAGAUAGAGAGAAUUAAAUCGAAACAAAUCAGAGGUUCCGCAAGGAAAUCAAAAUUACGUCCAAAAACCUACAUGGAUCAUGCAAGUGGGACUGAAAAUCCACAAAAGCAAAAGAUGAGAUAUGAAGGUACCCUCCCAGUCAAUCACAUCGUCGUGCCUCAUUAAGUUGUGAGGAUCUAACUAGUGGCAAUAUUAAAACUUCCAACUUGGAAAGAUGCCACUUUAGAAAUUUAUUCUUGUGCUUAAAAGGCAAGCUGAUAGUGUAUGAUUAGAUGUUAUUAUUACUCGAUAGAAUAGAAUGAGUGUGAUAGAACAAAUACAUGGUGUCCCGGCUUAGUGCAGUGGUUGAACUAUGAUUGGAGACAAUCCACAGACCAGCUAACUUGUGAUCUAAGAUGAUUAGGAAAUAUACACCCACCAAUCAAAAGCAGAGUAGCAAAUCAAUCAAAGUGGUGGCCCAUAACACGGUCUCUUCACCCAACUACUGCAAUUGCAGCGGACAUCAUCCAUCUAGUCACCUCCCAUAUUUUCUCCCCUACUAAUUUUUAUGCUUAGGCCACAAAUGUCAACUCAUGCCACCAUAGUCCACAGAUGCUAUUAGGUUUCCAGCCUCUUUACAGAAGGGAUGGCACAUGGAGAGGAGGAGAUUAUCAUGGCAUCAGGGAUGGACUUGGGUGGGCUACAAAGCUCCUUUUCUUAGGGGGACAGUUUUGAUUGAUGGAUUCCACACCAAGGAACAAAGGGGUGGAGUACAUCAGUACACGGUUUGGUAUAUAUGCAUGAGAGUGGGGAAUGUAAAAAAAAAUGAUAGAAUCAUACUUUUGGCUACUCGGAAUUGGUGAUCACUUAAUAAAGUACUGAUUCGAUUCCUACGCUGAGAAUCGAAUGCAAAAGGCUAAAUCAAUCACUAAUCAGCGAAACUAAUGCAUUAAUUACUCAAAGGGGUGUUCAUACGUGCAACCCCAAUAUCCAUCGCGAUACUAGUUUUAGCAAUCACCUGCGGAACGGAACGCCUACUAAUUGGUUCGGUUCACAGUUCACACCCGCACACACUAAAAGAUAGUAAGAUCACUGUUGGUACACUACUAGCGCCGCUUUGAGCUGCAUAAGGGAUAUCUCCAAAGCAUUACUCUGCUCGAGAAUGAAACCCAAAGAUGUGAACAACGGCCAUCAAAUCAGCAAGUUGGAGGGGGAAGAUGGAUCAAUCAACCUGCGCAGCUUGUCGGUCGAAAAUAUGCAGCCUGCAGAGGGUGGUGGAAUCUGAGGAGUUAGCAGUGACGACUUCCCAAUUAUUGGGCACACUAACAACUCCAAAUGCUUGUCAGAUGGACCACCCAACCGAGGAGGAUAAACCUCCCACCUAAUUCACCAGGAUGAUUCCAGUGAAGCUGACUAGUCAAAUAGGAAAAGUAAAAAAUAAUUGAGCUUUUGUUUUUCUUCAUUUAUUUCCUCUUUGCUUACUCGAAAGGUGUAAUUUAUAACUCACCACGUCCUGCCUAAUGUCGAAACAGAGAAGCUACAGCAACUCCUGGAAAAGAUGACCUGAGAUAUAUAGGAUGAAGGGUCAUGGAAUGGUACAAACUAUAGCUCAUUGGAUUCUCAGAAGAUCAACAAGACAAUUUUUUUCCACUAUUUCCGGAUCAGAUCACAGCGACGAAAGAGGAGUCACUGUAGGAUUCCAGUGGGUGGUCACACACCCACAUACUAAUUAAGGUCCCCAUGUAUGAAAACGAAAACAGAUUCCUUCAUGUGAACAACGUUUUCUUCUUUUACAAAAGAAUCCACAGCUGGGCAUGCCAAGAACAUUAAUAUUGAAGCCCCCAAACAUGAUAAACCUAACCAUGACCAUGUGCGUGAACCGAAAUAGAAGAAAAGGACUGCCUAGUAAGAGAAGCGGCUGCUAACAAGUUUGAACAAGAAGAGGCAAACAAAGCCAAUUGCAAAUAGUCUAUGAGAGCGAGAGAAAAAGGACACUGAUGCAGUCACCUAUCACUAUAAUUCACAGCUCAUACGGGUGUGGGUUUGCUACCCUAGAAGAAUGUUGGCCUACGGCAACCCUACCGCCGCUUGUUGCCAUUCACACCGCAUUGUCCUCGGCUCAUACUUUCUCAGCUUUAUGAAGGUAUUUUUUUAUUACCGUGAAAAAAAUCCAAAAUUGGGAGGACAUCGUGGAAGGUUAGAGUUGGCAUGGAAAUGCUAUCUGAAAGUGUUCAGCAAACAUCUGUGAACGUUUGGCCCAGCAUGUGCUUCUGCUUUCAACUACAGUCAUAUAUAGUAUAAUAUUUGGCAACUGUAAACGCCGCUAUAAAAAUUAAAUUUAGAUUCUAAGUUCUAGAUGCAGAAGACUCAGUUUUUAGCUCCUAAUUUUGCCACAGAGAAGCUGUCGAAAACAUCUUAAUAGAGUACUCCAUAUAAUAGCUUUACUCAAAAUUACUUCGUCAAACAACAGAGCACUCUAUGGCAGGCCCAAACAGGAAUGGUCUGUUUGGUAUGCUUGGCACUUUACCAACCCCAUUUUAGAGAGAGUUAGAGCUGUUUGCGAUCAAUUUGAUAUCAAUUACAGAAAAUAGAGGUUUCAGUAAAGCCCAUCAAGUUUACUUGAGGAACAGAAGAGAUAGGGUAGAGCAGAGCACACAGUAGAGGACAAGCCGGUUGGAAAAGCAGAAGCACAUGGAGGUAGAACAGGAAAUAUGAUAAAAAUGAAAAGAGAAAAUUUUCUGCAGUUACUAGGGAAACGUUUUUUAAUUGUAUAAUUUACUGCUUUCCGAAAAAGAAAGCAGUUCGAGAAGCAACGCAUAAAAAGCACAUGCAAGUCGAAACCUUCAAACAUUUUAGCCCAAUGAGUAUAUCUGGUUACAAGUAUUCAGUCCCUGAAAGUGAAUGCUCGAAUAGAACAGAAACCUGCAUAUUCCCUACAUCAAACCACUCAACAAUUACAGACUAAUACGAUCUUAAAAGGUGUUAAAAUAUAAGUCGAAAAUAAAAGAAAAUUAGUACCACACAGAGUAAAUUUAGAACCUUAUUCUCUCAGAUUGUGGUCAAAUAUUUGCAGCUGAACUUUCAACCAGCAGAUUACUUGCAGGGGGGAAAGAAAUCACCUAGAGGCACAACAGUACCGACACCAAAAAAAUCUUUCAAAAAGACAUCACGUACAUAUGACAAAGCAUGAUAAGCAUGAUGAAGAAUAUGAUUAGACAACAUUAUUUAGGAAUUUUUAUUUCUUUGAUCCCCUAAAGUGUUCCCCGUAGUAGUAAGCACUCCCAACCAUUAAAGCAACUGUUGCACCCUGAACUACGACACGAGCCCUCAUCAGCUUCUGACCUAAGUGAGAAUUCCCUUGCCUAAAGCUGAUUAGACCGGCUGUGAGGACACCAGCAGUUAAAAGUGCACCUGAGAAACUUUAAUGUUAGAUACGAGAACAAGAAAAAGUUCACCACACUAUUCAUGAUCAGUUUCCUAAUGUAAAAUUCAUCAAAGAGAAAAUUGUUUUGUCAACUGGGGAUAUCAUCUAGAGAAAGGAAACCUAAUUAGAAAUGUUAUCUAUUUCAAUUAGCUUCAAACAUUAUACUGUUACUGGUACAAGUGGUGCUCAAGUGUAACCUAUAAAAACAACUGAAAUUCAUUAGAUUGUUAAUCUUACAAUGUUCCAGAGAUCUUUAGUUUCAUAAAUCAUGUCUUAGAAGUCAAUUAAUUCAAAUCAUCAAAAUGUCCGCUCAAUCAUAACAUCUACUCAUGACUUAUACUCAUUCCUCACAGAGGUUCUGAUAUUCAAAAGCAUAGGAUAGUUGUGCUUGAAAAUUAGGUAUGCCUCUAGUUAUUUCAAUGUUAAAAUUUGCAACUCUGAAUAUAACAAAAGAUGUCAACCUGAAAAAAGUUGAAUCUGAAUAUAACAAGCAAUAUACAGACCGGGAAAGGACAACAAAACCAUAAUCAGUUAAUCACACAUAAAUUAUACUUUUCGACCAAGCUAAAUUUGACAACUCAAAAGGACAUAAUCUCCGCAUCAAAACAACUCAUAUCGCUUUAGAAUAUAGUCAUUUGUUGACAUGAGAUCCGAUAAACCCAUACCAAAGAAACAACAUUAAGCACAUCCAAGAAACCAAGAGUAUCAUGAUAUUUCUAAACAUAAUCAUGUCCUCUCUUACUGGAAAAAGGUGACUAAUUGCAUUACAUUGAGCUAAUGAUUUCCCAAAACAAAUAAUCAUAACAAAUAUGAACAAGGUCUAAACUCCAUGUGUUUAAUAUAGAGCAAAUGAAAGUGUAGCCAAUUGUUCUUAACAUAGUCAAGUGCACACGAAAUCUGAGAUAUCAGAUGUCUUUUUUCUUGCCUCAAGUUUGUAUUACAAAUGCCACAAGAGAUAUGAAGAUAUCAAACAGAUAUUUUGUUGCCUCAAGGAGUCAUGAAGCUUCAUCCUCUUACACACACACACACACACACACACACACACACAGAGAGAGAGAGAGAGAGAGAGAGAGAGAGAGAGAGAGAGGGUGAAGGAAAGGAGGAAAGGUGAAGCAGUCACUGUGCGAAACAAAGUGCAAGUAGUCAAGAAAUUUAAAGUUGUUGCACAAUAAAUUCUGGCUGUAGGAAAUAGGCAGAGAUUAGCUUAAGCCUUUAAGCUACUUCAGGAGGUGAACAUAGGAACACUCCUCAAAGAGAUAAGUUUUUCAAGCAUCAUAAAUACAUGGUGAGUUCAUGGGUUGUCACUUGGGAUUUCUUUUAUUUGACUAGCCACCAAAUAAUUUCAAACUUUCAACUUUUAACAUUACCUUAGAGCCCUCUAAGAACCUUUAGAAAAAAAAAAACCUAGUAAUUCUCUUCUUUAAUGACAUGUAAAUAAGAAAUACACUAGGAGAUGAGGAAGCAGCUCAGGCAAUUAUUUGAUCACUACCAAGGGAACUAGUUAAAUGCAAAGGUCAGUUUUUGUCUUGCUCCCAUGAUCAUUCCUUAAGAUUCCACUCAUGCAGGAUUCAGAAUAAGAAAGUGGCAGUCCUCUAAGGUACACAGCCGACGUAGCAGAUUAAGUUAUUAUAGAAAGUAAUACUAGCAAGUUACUUCAAAAAGGGUUGUUGAAGGAGUCCUAGAACUUUUGCAAGUGCGGGAAGAUCACACGAAUAUAAAGAACAAGUAUCACCAAAUCUAUAGGGCUCUUUUGAACAUUCAGCUGCUAAGGUAAUCCUGACAAGCUACUAGAACAAGUUAAAGAUAUAUGAAACCAUUAAAUGUCUCCCUAAUAUGUUUCCAUCAUUAUUGUUUUGACAAGGCCUGUUGAACGACCUUCUAAGGUAGCUUCAUUUCCACGACAUUUUCAUUUAAAGAGCACAUUACAGCGAAAUUCUAGAUUGCAUCACCAACUUUACUCGUAUAAAAAGUAAAUAUAUGAACCCAUUAAGAACCAAAGAUUUGAAAAGUGCAAAAAUUUAAUUUAAUAUGACAUGGUGAUGGAAGAGACUAAUCCUAAUCAAUUUUGUUCGUAAAUAAAAUACUACUAGCAGACAACGUUCUCGAGCGAAAUGGUGAAUAAACGGAAGUAAUACCUUAAAUCUUUGCAGUGUUUAGAGUCUUUAGACCCUAAGCAACUGACAAAAUUUCCCAAAUAUAACAGAAUCAAUUUUACGGCACCGCUCUGGUAGAGCCAAUAAUAUAGGUUCUCUGUGACAUAAGAAUUAUCACAAGCUGUUACUAGUUUUUCAAGAAUCAUAACCGCGACGCAUCAGAAUAACCUUCACUAGAAUUCCUGCAUAUUCUCCAUAAACUAACUGACACAAGCGACCCCUCCUUAUUACAAGUAGCUCAAAUAACAGGUUUCUAUUAUGUGCACAGCAAUGGGAGAAAAGUAGCUAAGAGUAAAUCAUACUUAAAUCAUAUCAUAUCAAUAUACUUAUUUGCCAAAAAACUAAUGAUGCAAUUACCAAAAACACAACGAAAUCGUAAUCAAAAUUAAGGGAAAAAACUUCUAAACUUUAGAUUUUACCAAUUAGGGCAAAGUAACAACAACCGGGACAAGCCCUAACACCCGAUUAUACGAUCGUAUGAAUCAAAAAUCUACGAAAACGAGAUGAGAAAAAUAGGUUUGGAUCAAGGAAUUUGAGGAGAGGGGGGGAGAUACCGAUGGGGACGAGAGGGUUCUUGACGCGCUUCUUCUGAGCGAGGAGAUCUUCGAUUUGGGAGUCGGCGGCCCCCAUCUUCUCCAUUCGCUUCGAUCCGAGUCGAUCUCGCAGGGGGAGGAAAAAUUGGGCGAAUCGGAGUUGGACCACUUUGGCUCUCGUGGCUCCGCGGCCGUAGACGUGCACCUCGGAGGAAGUGGACCAGUGUCGCCGCUCUAGCGGUACCUUUCACCUGGACCCGGCCCACCACGUCACUUUGGCUCUCGUGGCUCCGCGGCCGUAGACGUGCACCUCGGAGGAAGUGGACCGGUGUCGCCGCUCUAGCGGGACUUAUCGCCUGGACCCGGUCCACCACGUCACCCCAAAACCCUUCCAUAUUUUGAAGGUAAAUAUGCACGGAGGACCCCUCCGCUGUAUCCCUUUUGAAAUCGACCCUCGGCUUUUUGAAGGAUUUUAGCAUAAAAUUAAGAACUUUUUUAAAUCAUUGGUGAUUUUAUGGAUAAUUUAAAUUAUUUUUCGGUAAAAUAAAAAUUAAAUCUAUUAAUCAUCAAUAAUGCUAAAAUGUUAUGAAAAUUUUAAGUUAGUGAGUGUAAAAUGCAAAUAAAAGAUAAAAAAAUAUGGAGAUUUUAAUCAAAAUAAUUAAGAAAUCUAUGGCCUACAGAUGAAUCCUAGACAAAAUAAACGUUAACCGGUGCUCAUUUUAUUUAACAACAUACUGCAUGUAAAUUUUAUACCAUCGCUUACCCUGUAAUUUAUAAACAUCUUAUAGAUUUUUAGUAUUUUAAAAAUAAAUAUAUAUAUAUGAAUGAAUAUCCUUAUGAAAAGUUAUAGUUUCAUCGGCACUCCUCCAAAAUUUAAAACAUUGUUAACCUCUUAAUAACUAUCAAAAACAUUUUUGAAUGUCUUCAUUCAAAUUUGAUGGUUUAUAUCUGAAGUUUCGUUUUUACCCUCCAGUAAACUAAUGACCUAGCAAGCUUGCCACCAAAAGAGUAAUUUUCAUGAUUUUAAAAGAAAGUUUAAAAUAAAUAAUUUAAUAAAAUGAAAGUGAUAGAUUUACACACAUUACGUAAUAAUUUAAAAAAUUCAUACUAUAAGCUACAAAAUUGAAAAUUAUAUUCUAAAUAAAAAUUUUAAAAAAUAAUAUGUAUGAACAUAUCGCCCUGCCAACUACCAAGGAUAUUUAAGGGUAAAAUAGUUAAUUCAUUAAUGUGAUUAGUAUAAGUAAAGGGUAUUUGUGAUAAAUUUAUAUAUUAAUGUUCUAAAUUUUGAAAGAAUAUUUAUAAAAUUUUAAAACUUAAAAGGACAUGUUUGAAAUUUCUUCUUUAAAUUUUUUUUAAAAAAUUAUUUAUACGCCUCAAAAUGAGUAUAGAUUUUACACCUCCCAACCUAAGAUCCACGAAAAUCUAAAAAAAAAAUUAGUAAAAUAAAUGAUAUGACAAAUAAAAAGAAAAUGUAAUAACUCUACACAUAAUAAAAUGGAUAAAAGGUUAAGUCUUUAUAAAUGAAUAUAGCUAUGAAUAAAAGGGCAAAAAUUGUACGGACAUAGCGUCCAAAUUAGUAUUUUUGGGGACAUUCUAGAUGGACGCCGUGUGCUCGCAGGCGUCCAUCCCAACGUCCUUUUUUCUACUUUUAUUUUUUGUCUCUCUCUAAAAAAAUUAUAUUUUUUAAAACAAAAAUAGAACAGUGGGAUAGAUGCAUACGAGCCAUGUGGCACCUAUCCGGAUCGACCCAAAAAUAUUAAUGUGGACACUGUGUCCACACUAUUUUUGCCCUGAAUAAGAUUGAUACUUUAUGAAUAAAUGCUCUUUUAAAAAACAACGGGCCUGAUUUAGACGACUUUAGAAAAAUAAUAUCAACAACAACGUGUUAAAUUUAAUCAAAAUAAUUUAACUUGGAUAUGAUGUCAUUAACAAGGGUUUUAUAUUUUUUUUUAGAAAUAGUUAGUACGCUAUCCGUUUCGUUUAUUUCAUUUAGAAAUAAAUUUAGCUAAAAAUAUGAAUCAACUAAAAUUUAAAUUUAAGUCUCGAGUACCAAUCAAUAAAUGUUUUGUCACUUGCUCUAGAAGCGGUCCAUAACAAGAGUUUUAUGUUAAGAUUGUUAAGUUAGAUAGUUUCAUUAUUUUCGGUGAUAACUCAGAUUCAAUGAAUCUGAUUUUAGCUUCUAAUUUCUCGUGUUUUGUACCGAUCCGGCCUGAUGAUUGGACGGCACGGCGGCGCGCAAUCGGACGGACUAGAUCUUCGGGAAAAGCACAUCUACGCUAAUCACAGCCCUUCAAUUAUAAUAUAUUAAAAAUUCGAGGAAAUCAAAAUAAGACGACGCACUCUCCUCGCUCGCUGUGCUUUGCGUCAACUGCUACACAAAUUCUCUUCCCCCGAUUCUCUUUAUUUCCCUUCUUAAAAAAAAAAAAAAAAAAAACUCUUACUCGAAGAACUAGGGAUUGGGGAAGCGUUCCAUCGCCCCUGGGGCCGUUGAUGCCCUAAGGGACGUAUUAUUUCGGAUCGGGGAUUGGAAUUUGAGGAAGUGUUCUUGGUAAGAUCCUUUUAUUAGAAUGGGAAUUUCAGAGAUUGUUGAAUUCUAGGAUUUUUCUUUAUUUUGUCCUUAAUCCCUUUCCAUGGAGAACUGUUCUUGGUUUUAACUAGGGUUUUGGAGCCUUUUAUUAUGGCUACUCCUUUUUCUAUCUAAAGAGCAUAGGAAGAAGAUUUUUUGUUGGUUUUUUGGGCGGAAGAGUUGAAAUUUUGGUUAGAAUAUUCCCGGGGAUCUUGAGAAGGAAGUUUAGUCUAAAAGGGAGAAUUUUGCCCUUUUUUUUGUGAAAAAAGGUGGUUUUGUUUGGAAAAAUGGUCGGUUAUUGUAUUUUUUGGGGGGGGGGGGAAUUGAUUGUUUAAUUCCGCAAUUUGUCGAAGAGGAACUUUUCUGAUCAAUUUGUUUCUGACAAAGAUAGGAUUUAUCGUUUAAAAAGCUUUUUUUUUUUUUUGGAGAAAACUAGGUUUGAUUAAAUUUGAUCUUUUCUGUGGCAAAAAUAUCUAGGAUUAAAGCGGGUUUCUCGAUUUAAAAUGUCAGUAGCUUUCACCCGCCUCUCUCAUUUCCUAUGGGGAAAAAAAGAUCAUGAGAAAACCACCAAUACCUCUCUUCCCGAUUUCCCAUCCGGAUACAGGGAGCCGGAUUCCGUCAAAUUCUCAUCAGUUAAUGGCCCGAGGGCGCAGUCGUCUUCUAGAAGGAUCAAGAAAAACUGGCAGAGGCAGGAGGAGCAGAUCGAUAGGGAAUUUGAUGUAGUUAUUGUACCCUCGGACGGUGGAUGCAUGUCGGGGUGGGAAUCGGAUGAUUCAGAUGGUUCUGAUUGGUCGGUCGGGUGGUUGGAGCCUCAUGCACACGAAUUCCAGUGCGAGACAGAAUCCGAUAGCAGCUUUGCUGUCUUGGUCCCUUGCUAUCGGCGCGGGAUCGGCAAGCCGGAGAAGAGUGUAAAAAUUCGUUCUUUGGGCGCGAGUAAUCUCUCUGGUUAGUGAACUUUAACCGGUAUCGACUUUAUAUCUGCUGAUAAUUUGCUUUGCAUUGUUUAUAUUUCCAGCAUUCUAGUACUUGUUGGAAUAUCAAAUUCCUGCAGUAAUUCUCCACAUAUGUGCUUAAUAACCUGACCAUGUACUAUAGGAGAAAUUAUUGGAUACACCUUGGCAUUUAGACGACAAGAAUAUUUAUGAGCAAACAGUUCUUGCUAAUACCAUUUUGGCCGGGACUAAAAUUCCCUGGCGCAUGACCUGGCAGAUGUGGAAUUUCAGUACUGAUUGACAUCCAUCACAUAUUUUCCUAUUAAAGGUUAAAAUUUUGAAAUGCUCAAUACAUUUAGGCUCCAUUUGGAUGUUGGAACAAUUUAUUUGGUGAUAACGCUAGCAGUGUGAGGUUUUCGUUUUGCGAUUGCAACAUAGGGGUUUGAUUUAUGUUCACUGUAAAGCCCUCAUAGUCAUGAUUUUUGAGAGUAGUCUGUUCGACCUACAAGGUGAUUUAUCAUAAUGAUGGGAAGAAAUAAGCAAUUUAGAGAUUUUAUGUGUUUAUUGACAUCUUUUCUCAUACUCCCAUUGACCAAUAACUAUCACAAGCCUCUUUAAGUCUGCAAAAGAUAUAUGUGAAACAACAUAUGCAUGCAUCCAAAGAGGUCCUUUAAGCAAUGUGGUCAAACUGUUGGGAUAUUUUAAGAUUACCGAUCACUCGCACGGUGCAACUCUUUUAUCUCCGUUGCUGGUGUAUCAGAUAUUAUGAGCUGAUCCUUGAAGUUGGCCUAACACAGAGGAAAUAAGGUUUUCCGAUUUGUAAAGAUUAAUUGUUGACGUAAGCACCUAAAUAGUGACUUCAGGUAUUCUCUGUUGCUGUUUGGAUACAUGGAUUCACAAUUUUCUCCUAUCACAGUAAAUAUAAUAGCCUUUUAAACUUGGUGCUGGUUUUGGAGGAUAGUCAAACAAUUUACUCUACAAACUUGUAAGUUGAUACUUCAUUUUUCACCUUAACUGGUCCAAGCUAGCACAUUUUGUUCUUUGCCUUUUGCUGAUCUUAUCGGAAAUAUGUUUGUCCCUCUUAACCACAUGAGCUAACAUGUUAACAUAUGUUCGUAAAAAAGAUGAGAGUUUGGCAUAAAUAGGUGAUGUUUUUAAGAUUGAAGCUUAUGAGCUUCUGAUAGUCUACCUUCUCUACCUUCUUAGAUUAUUUCAUGGAUUUAAAAUAGCAAGCUAUUGAGAAAUUCUCAAAUCCUUGAAAUGGCAUGAGCUAGUUUAUUAGGCAUGGAAUACAUUCUAAGAUAGGCACUUUAUUGGUUUUGUGAAUGGUUCUUGCUUAUUUUAUAGUUGAUUUCGUGGUAAUUGAAUCUUUUUUAUUUUGAAGAAGAAAUAAAUCCUUUUUUUUUUUUGUUUUACAUGAACUGAACUCAUGGACGUGUAUGCCGUCUUCAUUGCCUAUAUCUAUUGGGUUCUGGAUAUAACUGUUUGAUGGAUUGAACAAUAUUCUGGCAAGCACCUUUAUACAGGGGCAUGUUGCCUUAGGAGACAGAAAAGUUUAUUUACAUUCAUUUAGCACUUGAUGCAGUUUGUGCUAAGUAACUUGGAAGCUCCUCCAGUUUCCCUUUUUAGGUGUUUGUGUUGCUUGCUUAAAUUCUGCAGCUUUUGUACCUCCUUUUUGUUUUCUUUUUUCUUUUUUACUUUUUGCCUGUGUUCUGAGAUUGUUCUAGCAAAGAUUGUGCGCUGGUUCACUGUGGCAUCUCCAAUAUGAGGAUAUUUGUUGGUGACUCCUCUUCUUGGGAGAUGCUUGCACUUGUUUUUAUUGCUUCUUUGUUGCACUGACACGUUGUAGCUAGGCAUAAUUACAAUCUGCUGAUACCUGCAUUUGAAACUUACUGCAUUUUAUUGCUUCAAAUUCCUUCCGAACUUGUGAUAAUGCUUAAUCUAAUUAUAUUAAACAGCUACACUUCUCACAAUCUUGUAUAUUCUUUUUAUGCAGAGGGCAAGAGUUUCAUAGAACAGUGGCUUUCUUCUCUUCAGAACUCCUAAUGCCGCGAAAUACUGCCCAUCUGGUCUAGUCCAUUCAUUCUUUUCCAUUACCAAUUAUACCAGGUCGCGGAAAGAUUACGACAAAAGCAAAGGGAGCAGCAGGGGUAAUUUUAGGAUCUUUAGAUGGAUAUGCAUCUCUCCCGGCAAGGCUUAAGCAAAGCUCCAAGAGGCUUGCUUUCUCAUCAUAGGUCGAGAUUCUUUUAGAGGAUUAUUAAAGUGGUGAUUGUUUUACAUAGUGCAUUUGCUUUUUGCCUCCAUUCGGGGAUUUACUCUGCUAUUGGUACUGUAAUAUGAUUGUAAAUACAUUCUUAGUAAAUAUCACCAUAGUUAUGGAGCUCAUAUUUUCGCAAUUUCUCAUUGUUUGAUUUGGUUAUAGCUGAAAGUGAAACACCUGGUAGCCUGGUUGGUGAACCCCUGUACUUGGUGAAUCUAUUUUUGCUCUUCUGCCAUUACUUCUCCAAUGAUUUUAGUUUAUAUAUAUAUAUAUAUAUAUAUAGAACUAGGCUACUAUGCUAUUAAUAGCACCAAGUCAUUGGUGCUAUCAAGUUUUGCCAGUUAUGAUUACCUUCUUUUAAAUUUCAAUCCCGUCGAAUUAUACGAUUCACCAGCCACCCACAUCAAAGCCCUAGGCCCAAGUCAUUUCUAACCAACACCACACAUUUUUUUAUCCAAGGAUAUAAAUUUAAUCAGCACCAAUUAUGUGCUAUUAAAUAUAUCGCAGCCUAGUUCUAUAAUAUAUAUAUUAAUAUAUAUAUAUAUAUAUAUAAUAGAGGAGAGAGAGAGAGAGAAAGAGAUGAGAGAGCAGAGAGAAGUAGAGAGAGAAGGAGGAGAGAGAAGGAGAGAGAUGGACUGUGGCUCUCCAGGAGGCACAGAGCCUCGUGCCCUGAGCCAUUUCGAUGAUGGAGUCCGAUCGACGAUUCGGUUCCGUUAAAACUGAUCUACUAUUGAAAAGUUGCUAGAAAAAUAAUUUUCGUGCUGAUUUUCGCAUACUCAUUUACCGAAAAAAAAAAAAAAAACUAGCAAUCGAAAAGGAUCAAAAUCAAUAAAUUUUUAACUGGUUGUAAAAUAAAUCCUAUAAAGUGAUAUAUCACUGAACUAAAAUUUUGAAUCAGAAAUAUUGAUCUUCUUUGUAGAUAGAUAAAAAAUUUGAUAUCAAAAAUUUUAAUCUGAUUUGAAUACUUCUACACUGUUAAACUUGAAAAACUGGCAGAUAAUCAACAAUUAAAAUUAUGAGAUUUGAAUCUUUCUCGAUCACUAGGUAAAUUAUACAAAAAUCGCAAAAUUAUUUAAUUAAAACUCUAAAUGCGCUAGACAAGUUCUAACGAAGCCGAUCGUUUCGAUUUGAAAGCUUGCUAUCAUCGAAAAAACCGGCUCAGGAGCACGGAGCCUCUGGGUCUCCUGAGACAGCAGGUCAGGCUCCUUGCUUUAUAUAUAUAUAUAUAAUAUAUAUAUAAUAGAUUAUGAGUGAGGCUAGAAUGCUAAUCGGAACACUAAGCGAGGCCUCCGUGCUCCAGCUCGUUUUCGGAUGUUCGACUUCGAAUCGUCGAUCAAGCUCCGUUUAAAAUCUGAUCUAGAGUAUUGAAAGAUACCUAGAAAUAAAAUUUUUUAUGAUUUAGCAUAUCAUUGCCUAGUGAAGCAGAAGGGGCUCAAAUCAACAGCUGAAAUAAAAAUCUUACAAAAUGAAUAAUAUGACAUUAAAAUUUAAAUCAAAAUAUUGAUCUGUUAUAUAGAUAAAGAAUUUCUAUCAAAAUUUCACGUAUUGAUAUUUCCUACACACCACGUUAAACUUCAAACGGCUCACUAUCGUGCCCAUGAAAUUUGUUGAUUUUGAGCCCAUUCGAUCACUAGCAAAUGAUACGUAAAACUCAUAAUAAAAUUUAUUUUCUAAGUACGUCAAAUAACUCUAGAUCAAGUUUAACGAGCAUCGAUCGACGAUUACGAAAGUCGCAACAUCGAAAACGAGCUGGCAAGCACGGAAGAUCCGGCUUCCAGAUAGCAUAAGUACUCACGUCUAUAUAUAAUAAUAUAUAUAGUAGAUAUAGUAAUAUAUAUAUAUAUAUAAUAUUAUUUAAGAAUUCAUCAAAUCGCCAAAAUCAAGUCUAACAGCCGAUCGUCGCUUUUGAAAAUUCUACUCAUCGAAAACGCUCAAGGUGCCCUGAGAGCAUAGCGCAUACAUUUUAAAAAAAUAUAUACGUAUUUUUAAUUUGCUUUUUUUAUGCAUAUCUAUACUACUUAUAAAAGAGGAAGUUUUAAAAUUUUUUUCUUUCCUAAAAUGUCGGUCCCUAUUAAUAUAAUUCCAAUCACAUACUAGCAAUAUCAUUCAUUCAACUUUAAUGGAAUAAAUCACAGCCGUACAAUUUUUAUUUUAUUUUUAAAUUAUCAUAAAAUAUAUUAAUUCUUAGUCAUUAGAUCUAAUCCAAUGGCUGACAAAUUAAGUAUCUGUCACUUUUUUUACCUAAAUUGCCCUCAAAUAGUGCGUAUCAAAUUUCACUUUUUAUAUGCGUACCAUAUCUCCUAAUAACCAUCACCUACAUAAUACCAUAUUUUAUCACAAAUAAUAUUCGCAAUCUACGCGUUUUUUAAAUAUUUCCUUUCUUACACGUAAUAUCUACCACCUACAUAAUAUCCAAUCACGUAAUACCUUCCGCAUAUAUAAUAUUUAAUCAUAUAUUUUUAAAAGUGAAUUUACAAUUUAAAAAUUUAAAUUUGUAGAUAAAUGUGAUUCACAAAUUUAUAUUGAUUUGAAAUAAUUAUUAAAUAAAAUAGUUGUUGACUAGGAAAAAAUAUUGCAUUCCAUUUGCAAUAAUAAAAAAAAAUCAUACUUAUCCAAAUUUUUGUCAUCCGAAGAAUAUCUACUACAGAAUAUUUUUCACAAGUACCUCAUAAAAGAAUAUCCAUAUUCAAAAAAAAAACGAAAAUCUCUACGCAAACAUUGAAAAUAUUUAGUAUCCACUAUCUCUCAAUUAACAAACUAAAAAAAAAAUUUAGGUUUAAAAAAUAGAAUGAUUUAAAUAAGCUUAUCAAAUCAACUUUAAAUUUUAAAUUGGUUCAUAAUUUCAAAUGUGAAUUAAUAUUUUAAUUCAAAAUUUGAAAUUAAUUAAAAUUUCAAUAUUUGGGUGUGUAAACAAUAUUUCAAAUUGAAAAUAAUUAAUUAACUUGAAAAUAUAUCAAAUUUGAAAAAUAGAUGGAAUGAUAAAUAAAUCAAUGUCUCUAAUAAUUAUUUACAUUCAAAUUACGGAUUCAAAAUUAACUUCAAAUUUUGAGUUUUGUUCAUAAAUUUAAAUCUGAAUUCUUAAAUUUAAAAUUUAGAAUUACUUCAAAUUUUUAAAAUUUGGAUACACAUUAAAAAAAAUUAAAGUUAAAAAAAUUAAUUGAUAAAAAGAUUUAUACCACCAAUAAUUAUUUAAAUUUAAAAUAUAAAUAUAAAUUUAAUUUAAUUAAAUAUGACGUGCAUCGCACGUGCACUAUAACUAGUAUAUAUAUAUAUAUAUAUUAUAUAUAUACUAUAUAGACUUGAGCUCCCGAAACCUGUUUUUUUUUUUUUUUUUUUUUUUUUUUAAACACAUUCAAUUAGUGCAACCACCCACCUCUGGCAAAAUUUACGUAUGCUUCCCCUGUAUCUGGUUCGGCCAUGACUCCUAAUUCACUUUGUUACUAAAUUCAGAACACAUCGUAAUAAAUUUUCUGCGAAAAGGGUUUUGGGAUUAUAACCAUUAUUUGUAAAAUUCUGUGAGAAAUUUGAGUAUUCCAAUCCUACUUGGAUAUAUGAACACCGGAGGUAUGUUAAUUUUUUUAGCAUUUGACAACCCAAAAUGUAGUUAAAUUGAAGACAAGCAAGGUAUUAAUCCUUUUAUAUUAAUUCUUCCAUAAAAAAAUAUUUAAAAAGAUCAGGCUGGGAUCCAUGUCCUUGAGAACUCGAUAUUUCCCUUUCUUGUUGAUUCGAUGAACAACAUACUUUUCGGAAGUACCGCAGUAAGCAAAGCAAACAUAUCCCAGCGAAGAGCAUUUGAAAUAUAUAUUUUUUAAGUAGCUAAAACGACAGCACAUGUUUCCUGUACUUUGAUAAACGUUCUCACCCUUAACUACAGUGGAAGCUCUUUGACCGCUUUUCAAACAAAAUUCAAUAUAUGCGAGAAAAAGUCUUUAAUUUACCAUCAAAUAUGGAAAUAACAGAAUGGUACUUUCCAAGUUUGAAUCUAAGUACUUCAUUUAAGUUCCUAAGGCCUGAUGGGAAUUACUUUUUUCAAAAAAGGCAAGGCAAAUAGUUUAACAUCUCUCUUAAUCAAAAAAAGGAACGACACUUCCCAUUUUAUCAACAAAAUACAUAUAUAUAAAAUAUAUGUUGAGUAUCGUUUUUUUAAGGCCAGUUCAAAAUUAAUCAACAUGAAAGUGAUAACCUAACCAGGAUAUCAAUCCUGAAGAGUGAGCUGAUAGUACUCAUAUCUUGCCAACUAAAAUAUUAUCGACAUAUUCUGAGGGCACCAAUGCCUUUGGGGAACUGUUCAUCUCGAAAACCAAUCAAGGAUCAAUCAAACCAAUCAAACCUAACACCUAACAACAAACAAUAAAUAAAAUAACAAUCACCGUAAAACCCACCCUAUUAGGCUAUUCAAACCUAACACUAAACAAAAACAAUCACCAAAACAAAUCCAAUCUACUACAAAUAUCGUACUAUAUGUAUAUACGACAACCUCCGAUAAUUAAUGCAUCGAUCGCUUUAUCACGAAAGCUGCUACGUACGAACAUACGAACCGCAGGUGUAUAUAUAGGUAUAUAUAUACCUAGUACUAUAUUUUUAUACCCUCUAAAUCAACCCAAAUAAUAAGUAUAAUCAAUGGUCAUGGCAAUGCACAAAUUGGCGAGCGCUUUGAGCUAAGCGCACGCGCAACCCUGAGCGGAGUGUAUUCGGCGGUCGAACGUGCAGAGCCCGCUCCGUCCGGCAUGUCGCGGCCCGCCGGGACGAGCCUCCGAAGCUCCCAGUCCCUUGCCUCUGCAGGCGCGACGACCGAAACGACGCGACGACAAACAUCGACUGGCUCACCCGCCGAAAUGGCUGGCGGCAAUAUUUUUCUGUGCAGUCUCCCCGCCGCACGCCGACCGCGGUGCGCGUGGGAACGGCGCGGCGCUCUCCGGCUGCUGAACGUGAAUGGGCAUCUGCGCCAUUCGAGAGGGUUUGUGUAAUGGUUUUUGAUGGAGAGAGAACGUGAGAUGGCAUCGAGGGGAAGGGUGGAUGUUCAUAGGAGAGGGGGGUGUAGUGAAGAAUUAAGGGACUGGGGAUGGGGCGUGGUAGGUUUGUCGUCGUUGGCGCGAUCGGAUGGCGUGGGUGGCGAAGGGGACACACGCGUGGAAGCCACGUCUUGUCCGGCGCACCGUGUCCUGACAGCCUUUCGCACGUGUAUUACAGCAGCGGGUUACGCUCCCGCUCCCAGAUUUCUGGAUUGCUGCUGCCUGGUGCCGUAAAUUCAGCCUUCUGUUUUGUAAAGACAGCUUGUAUUUGGCUUUAAGUCCUAACGUCCUUUGUUUAAUAAAAGGCGAUUACCAAAAGCUGUAAUCAAUUCAUUUGUAUUCCAGCCUUGAUAUAAACUUUUAUAUAUAUAUAAAUAUAGGUAUAUACGCCUGAUACCUAUAUAUAUAGUAUACUAUAACUAGAUACUAUAUUAUAUAUACUAUAACUACUAUACUAAUACCGUCAGGUUUAUUGUGCCAUUAAAAAUACAAUAGUUCUUAUGCUCCUAACUUUUUAAAUAUUGAUCAUUCAUCAAUAUUGAUAGAUGAUUAUAGUGAUAAAGAGAAGAAAAAUUAUGAAGAAAUUAAGUGUCUCAAUUUUUUUUUUCUCUUUAAAGUUUUUCUCAAUUUAUCUUUUCUUUCAUCCGAACUAUCCAUCAAAAUUAAUGAAUGAUUAAGAAGCUAGGAGUAUAAGAAUUAUUGUACUCUUAAUAACACAGUAGUUUUACUCUCUCUCUCUAUAUAUAAUUAUGUUACUAUAUUAUCGAUAGCAUCAAGCGUUUGGUGCUAUCGAGUUUAAAGGAUGUGUGGUUAGAACAAUAGUGGUGUUCGGUUAAAAUAAUAGUGAUCUCCUAUGAUUGAGUAGAUGGUUGAUUGAAUAGUAUAAUCUAAUUGAUAGAAAUGAUCACAGUGUAGAUCUAACGAUCGAAAACUCGAUAGUAUCAGGAACUUAAUAUUAUCGAUAGUAUAAUAGCCAGAUUCUAUAUAUAUAAAGAAAGAGAGAGAGAGAGUCCGGCUGAGAUACUAUCGAUGGCACCAAGGACUUUGUACUAUCGAGUUUUUUACUGUUAGAUUUAACUAUUUGAUUAUUUGUAUCCGUUAAACUAUUCAACCAACCACCCAUUCAACCCUAGGGGACCCACAUCAUCCAAACUGUAUAUUUUUCAAUUCAAGGGCUAAAUAACUAAUAGCACCAAUAAUUUAGUGUUAUUGAUAGUAUUCCAGCCUAGUUUUAUAUAUAUAUAUAUAUAUAUAGAGUUGAGCUAUGAUACUUUUACAAGUAUCACCAUCAUGGUGCUAUUAGGUUUUAAGCCAUUGGAUCUACUUUUUGAUUAUUAAUAGCCCUUGGAUUAAACACUAUUCCACCUACCACCACCUAUCACCACCUACUACCAUCAUCUCAACCUCACAUCUCUCUAUCCAAGGGCUAAAAACACACAAGUAUCACCCCCAUGAUACUUUUACAAGUAUUCUAGCCCUACUCUCUCUCUCUCUCUCUCUCUCUAUAUAUAUAUAUAUAUAAUUUUUAACUAUCAACAAAAUAUCAAUGAUGUACCAUCUUUAUAUCGCUGCGGACCGGAAGCCUUUUUGUUAAAAAACAACAAAAGAAGGUGAUAUAGAUUUUCGGAAUGUUAUUUUUAUAGUUAGUUGAUACGUCGGCAGCUAUGACGUGGAUAAUCUUGUCGAUUAAUUAAUAUAAAUAUUCUAAAAUGGUGCAAGGAUUUAUCAACACGUUAGCUAUUCAAAGAUGUCUUAUUUGUAGGGGAAAUAAUAUUUUAUUAAUUUUGUGAGACGCAUCAAAAGAUCCUUGCUGAGGGNUAGUGCAACCACCACCUCUGCAAAUUUACUAUGCUUUCCCCUGUAAUCUGGUUCGGCCAUAUCUCCUAAUUUCACUUUGUUACCAUUCAGAACAAUCGUAAUAAAUUUCCUGGCGAAAGGGUUUUAGGGAUUAAUACCAUUAUUUGGUAAAAAUUCUGUGAGAAUUUGAGUAUUCAAUCUAUUGGAUAUAUGAACACGGGUAUGUUAAUUUUUUUUAGCAUUUGACAACUCAAAAUGUAGUUAAAUUGAAGACAAGCAAGUAUUAAUUCUUUUAUAUUAAUUCUUCAUAAAAUAUUUAAAAGAUCAGGCUGGGUCAUGUCCUUGAGACCUCGAUUAUUUCCUUUCUUGUUGAUUCGCAUGACAACAUACUUUCGGGAAGUACCAGUAAGCAAAGCAAACAUAUCCAGCGAAGAGGCAUGAAAUAUAUAUUUUUUUAAGUAGCUAAAACGAACAGCACAUGUUAUCCUGUUACUUUGAUAAAGUUCUCACUUACUACAGGGAACUCUUUGACCCUUUUCAAACAAAUUCAAUAUAUGGAGAAAAAUCUUUAAUACAUCAAAUGAAAUAACAAGAAUGGUACUUCCAAGUUUGAAGUACUAAGUACUUCAUAUUAAUUCCUAGCUGAUGGGAUUACUUUUUUUCAAAAAAGGCAAAGCAAAUAGUUAACUAUCUUUCUCUUAAUUAAAAAGGAACGACACUCCCAUUUAUAUCAAAAUACAUAUAUAUAAAAAUAUGUUGAUUAAUCGUUUUUUUAUAGCCAGUUCAAAUUAUCAAACAUGAAAUGUGAUACCUAACAGGAUAUCAAUCCUGAAGAGUGAGCUAUAGUAUCAUAUCUUCCAAACUAAAAUAUUAUCGACAAUAUUCUGAGCACAAUGCCUUUGGGACUGUUCAUCUCAAACCAAUCAAAUCAAUCAAACCAAUCAAACCUAACACUAACAAAAACAAAUAAUAUAAAAACAAUCACCAAAACCCACCCUAUUAGGUAUCAAACCUAACACUAACAAAAACAAUCACCAAAACAAAUCAAUCUACUACAAUAUUGUAUAUAUGUAUAUAGAAACUCCGAUAAUUAAUGCAUCGAUCGCUUUAUCACGAAACUGCUACGUACGAACAUACGACCCAGGUGUAUAUAUAUAUAUAUAUAUAUAUAUAUAUACCCUCUAAACAACAAAUAUAAGUAUAAUCAAUGGUCAUGGCAUGCACAAAUUGGCGAGCGCUUUGAGCAAGCGCACGCGCAACCUGAGCUGGAAGAUGUAGUCGGCGGUGCACGUGAAGAGCCGCUCCGCCGGCAUGUCGCGGCCGCCGGGGACGAGCCGCCGAAGCUCCAGCACCUUCCUCUGCAGCGGCGACGACGACGACGACGACGACAACAUCGACGGCUCACCGCCGAAUGCUGGCCGGCAAUAUUUUCUGUGCAGUCUCCCCGCCGCACGCCGACGGCGGUGCGCGUGGGAACGGCGCCGGCGCUUCUCGGCUGCUGAACGUGAUGGGCAUCUGGCGUCCAUUCGAGAGGGUUUGUGUAAUGGUUUUGAUGGAGAAGAGAACGUGAGAUGGGGAUCGAGGGGGAGGGUGGUGUUUAUAGGAGAGGGGGUGUAGUGAAGGAAUUAAGGGAGCUGGGGAUGGGGGCGUGGGUAGGGUUUGUCGCGUUGCGCGAUCGGGAUGGGGUGGGUGGCGAGGGGGACCCACGCGUGGAAGCCACGUCUUGUCCGGCGCACGUGUCUGACAGCUUUCACACGUGUAUUACAGCGGGUUCGCCCGCUCCAGAUUUCUGGAUUGCUGCUGCCGGUGACGGCAGUAGAUCGCAUCUGCGUCGCCAGCUGCAAAUUACCGCCGGUAUAUUAUUCAUAUAGGACCGGUAAUUCAGCCUUCUGUUUGUAAGACACUUUGUAUUUGGCUUUAAUCUACCCUUUGUUUAAUAAAUGAGCUGAUUACAAGCUGUAAUCAGCUCACUCGUGUUCAGCUUGAUAUAACUUUUAUAUAUAUAUAUAUAUAUAUAUAUAUAUAUAUAUAUAUAUAUAUAUAAGAUUUAUUGUGUCAUUAAAAGUACAAUAAUUCUUAUACUUCUAACUUUUUAAAUAUUGAUCAUUCAUCUAUUUUGAUAGACGGUUAUAGUGAUAGAGAGAAGAAAAAUUAUGAAGAAAUUAGGUGUCUCAAUUUUUUUUUUCUCUUUAAAGUUUUUCUCAAUUUAUCUUUUCUUUCAUUCUAACUAUCCAUCAAAAUUAAUGAAGAUUAAAAGCUAGGUAGUAUAAGAAUUAUUGUAGCUCUUUAAGUAGACACAGUAGUUUACUCAUUCUCUCUAAAUAAUAUAAAUUAUGUUCAACUAUAAUAUCGAAGCAUCAAAAGCGUUUGGUGGCUAUCGAGGUUUAAAGGAUGUGUGGUUAGAACAAUAGUUGUGUUCGGUGUUAGAAUAUAAGUGAUCUCCUAUGAUUGAGGUAGAUGGUUGGACUUGAAUAGCUAUACAUCUAAUGAUAGAAAUGAUCAAGCAGUGUAGAAUCUAACGAUCGACGAAACUCAGAUAGUAUCAGGGACUUAAUAUCCUAUCUGAUAGUAUAAUCAAGCCAGAUUCUAUACUAUAUACGAAAGAGAGAGAGAUGAUGUUCCGGCUGAUGAUACUAAUCGAUUGCACCAAGAGGACUUUUGUACUAUCGACCUUUUUCUACUGUCUAGAUUUAUACUAUUUGAUUAAUUUGUAUCCUUAAAGACUAUCAACCACAACCACCCAUUCAAACCCCCCCUAGGGGAACCCACAUCAUCCACAAACGUAAUUUUUUCAAAAUUCAACGGGCUAAACCUUAACUAAUAGCACCCAAUAAAUUAGUGUUAUGUGAUAGUAUUCCAGCCUAGUUUAAUAUCAAUUUCACCCCCUAUAACCUAUAUAUAAGGAAGUUGAGCUAUGAUACUUUUACAAGUAUCACCAUUAUGGUGCCAUUAGGUUUUAAGCCAUUGGAUCUACUUUUUGAUUAUUAAUAGCCCUUGGAUUAAACACUAUUCCACCUACCACCACCUAUCACCACCUACUACCAUCAUCUCAACCUCACAUCUCUCUAUCCAAGGGCUAAAAACACACAAGUAUCACCCCCAUGAUACUUUUACAAGUAUUCUAGCCCUACUCUCUCUCUCUCUCUCUCUCUCUAUAUAUAUAUAUAUAUAAUUUUUAACUAUCAACAAAAUAUCAAUGAUGUACCAUCUUUAUAUCGCUGCGGACCGGAAGCCUUUUUGUUAAAAAACAACAAAAGAAGGUGAUAUAGAUUUUCGGAAUGUUAUUUUUAUAGUUAGUUGAUACGUCGGCAGCUAUGACGUGGAUAAUCUUGUCGAUUAAUUAAUAUAAAUAUUCUAAAAUGGUGCAAGGAUUUAUCAACACGUUAGCUAUUCAAAGAUGUCUUAUUUGUAGGGGAAAUAAUAUUUUAUUAAUUUUGUGAGACGCAUCAAAAGAUCCUUGCUGAGGGAUGGACUUUUCUAUAUUUUGAUCACCACCUACGUACCAAGUAAUUAAUUUAAUUAACACUGAUUUAUUAUUUAGGAAAAUCUUUUAAAACUAGUUAUCAUUUGGAAAAUACUUUAACUAGGUACCUAAACUACUUUACUGCUUGCAUAAGUUAAUUUGUAUAUAAAUUACCCAUACAUAAUGUGAGCAUAUCGGCAAUUCUACCAUGUACAUAUCACAAGCCACUUACAUAUUAAUUAUUAGAUUAAUACAAAUAUUAAGCUUAGUAUUUUCAGAAAUCAAUUAAUACUAUAUAUAAAUAUUUGAUAACUUCUUGUGUUACAUGAUAGUAUUCUAUCGAUUUGUGAAAAUUAACCUCCAGUUUAAUAGAGUCGAUACUUUUGAGUAAAAAUAUGGAACUGUUGAAAGAGAGACCUAGUCAAAAGAUGCGUUUGUUAAUUAUAUCCAUAUUCAUAAAUAUAAUAUAUAGCUAGGCAAAAUGAACUAGUACUAAAUAACAUAUGUGCUACAACUUCAUCAUAUAAUAUAUUAUAGUAUAUAAUAAAUAUAAUAGAGAGAGAGAGAGAGAGAGAUGAGUAGGGGCACUUAUGAGUAUCAGACCCUUCCAUACUUAUUAAGGUGUUUCGUUGUUGAGCUUUUUCGAAUCAACGACCCCACACCGUAAACUAAUAUGCUGAAGUAUUUUAAAUUUGCAUAGAAAAUAAAUUUCCGUAAUUUUUCAAAUCAUUAUAAAGUCCAUAAAGGGCGAGUGUAUAAAUGAAUGGUUAAACAUCAAAUAACAUCAUAAAAAUGGAUGAUCAGGAUCUUUCAAUUUCAAAAUUGAGUUAUUAAUUUUUUUUAUUAGUGAAUAAGAAUUUUCUAAAGUCAACAAGAUUCAACCGUAUUCCAAUUCUUUUUUCAAUCCGUGUAAAGCACUAGCAAAUAUCUCAUACCACGUUAAAAAUUGUCAUUCUUGUAAACUUUUGAUCGUAAAGUAAUGAUAUCGAAAACAUUAUAUAAAAUUUGAUUCUAGAAGUUUUAAAUCUCUAGAUAAUAUUUAAUGAUAUUGAAUCUUGCAUUCGGAAGCGUCAAUCAAUCGAAACAACUUAUAAAUACGAAAACGCAUAAUAGUAUAGUAGCCGCACUCUAUAUAUAUAUAUAUAUAUAUAUAUAUAUAUAUAUAUAUAUAUAUAUAUAUAUAUAUAUAUAUAUUCAGUUCAAAAUUUCAUAUGUAGAGCUAAUCAUUGCCUGGAAUUACUCCACUUAAUUAUUAAAUCAUCUUCAGCUGAGUAAAAGCUAAUUAAGAUGCAUGAAACGAAUCCAAAGAUACUCGUAUAAUAUUCUCUUUUUGUUAAAUAAUCUCUUUGGGGGGGAGCAAUACUAAACAUUAUCAUAUGAAGAAGAGAAGACAACAAUCUCAUGAAGGAAGGAAUUCGAAUAUUUAGUAAAGUUAACGACGACCUCUACGUACUGUGUUGGUCCCAGGUUUGGCAUUUUUAUAAUUAAUUACUUGUUUUGUAUUUAUCUUUCUUAUAUCACAAGUACUUAUUUUAAAAAGCAUUUCUAAAGUUAUACAUACUAAUUAUUGCUCCCAGAAGUUCCAAACAAUUAAUCGAUAACCUAUUUUCUUUGGUACUAGAUUUUGACUUUUAACUAAGACCUUAAUGAUUAUUUGGUGAUCAUGUCAAUUUCCAGUUACAACUAAUUAGAUUAUGGUGUCGUAGUGUUAGGUAUUGCUUUUACUCCAUCUUAUAGACCUUGAUCCACAUGACGACAAAGUGCACUCUCGCACUCUUGACCUUUAUAGACCUCGCUGUUCCAAUCUGUACGUGCUCUCUAAUAAGCCAAGAAGGUUGCGUCAUGUUAAGACUAUUCAUAUAGAUGUUUUCUAUUAAGUCGAUCUAAGCUGUUUUAGUUUUAUCCAAUUUGACGGUGAUUUUGUUAAACAUAUCGACUUUACCCUCAUUUUGAUCGAUGAAACUACAAACGUACGCCUGUGAAUAGUUAAUUAAUAGUCGAGGUAAUAAGUUCUAAAACUUAAUAAAUGUGUACACAAUUUAGGGACCUAUAUAUAUAUAUAUGCCAAUAUUCGAGGGGAUCUCACGCACUAAGCUAGCUAGCUAUUAGGGUUUGUGUGGUGGUGGUGGUGGGGGGGGGGACCAAUGUAUACGUUUAUAGCAUGGCUAACUAUAGCCUUAGUAUAUAUGAGCUAGCGAUUUUAAAGCGAAAGGAAUGGGAGAGGAGGUGUGGUGCAUGAAAACACCCACGAGGGAGGAUGAUGGUGUUGGCCCGUUUGCUUAGCUGUUAUGGUUGGAACGGGACGGCGCACAUGCAUGCACAUGACAUUAGUACUCUUUCUCUAUCUCUCCUCUCUUCCUAUAAACAUCUCUCUCUAUCUCUCUCUAUAUAUCUCCUAGCUAGCUACUAUAUAUCUACCCCCCAAUAUAUUGAUGUGCACUAUAUAUACCAUCACAAUAUCCCAAUAAUGUUUUAGUGAGAGAAAGCAAAGAAUGUAUCUAUAGGACCCACGUACGACUCUUUAUUUUCCAAUUACAGCAAGCCAUGCAUGCAUGCAUGAUUCUCCUUUCCCUUGCUUCUAUAUAUUUAUCCUUUAACUUAUAUAUAAAGAGAGAAAGGGAGGGAGGCCUAGAUGCUACAAAAGCUAGCCCAGCUCAUGCCAUCAAUGACUUUGGUGAUACAACACGUUCUCUAUCGUGGUCUGGGCUAAUUAAGCACAGUUACAUAUAACAUUGUUGAAGUCUGUAUCUAAACCUUUUAUGGGUGCCAGCACAUCGAUAAUAUAAUAAGUAAAAAGUUAUAUAAUAUGCCUGAGUGAUUGCAAGUGUUUCAUACAGCUGUGCGUGACACUCGCUGAUAUAUAGAAAGAUUGCCACGUGGCAAAAUUGUCGUGGGGUCGAAGCACUGUGGUGGAUGCCACGACGCUCUCAUGGGGUGAGUCGGGGACAUGCGUCAUAAUGGAGGAAGAAGAAGAAGAUGGUAGGCGCGCUUAAAAAGUUAGUUAGCUUGGCCACUUGUGAAGGGCAUGGCCGUGCAUGCAUGAGCUGUAUGUAUUGUUUUUGUAGGAUGUUUAAUAUGUUGGUAAAUUUAUAUAUAUAUUUUUAGAGUGCCUAUAUAUACAAGCUAAUGAUUUUUCUCUUUUUUUUUACAUUACAAAUGUCAGCAUGGGAGCUAAAUGACGAAUUGUCACCAGCUGAAUAAGCUAUAAAAGGUACAGCUAAAAGGUUUGCCACACCUUUAUAUAGUAUUGAAGGGAGAAAAACGUCAAAACAUUAUUUUUUUCACAAAAAAAAAAAGAAGAAGUAUAAGAACAGUGUCUUGGCAACGUAAUCCCAGUUUCAGCCUUACCGUUUAGGCCCAUGUGUAGUGUUAUUUGGGGCCUAAACUUUAACCAAACUUGGCCCAUCACUGUAAUUUACACAAUCAUGGGCCCUCAUCUUGAGGCUAAGCUGGGCCUUCGUGGACCUUGUUCUGUCGGCCGGAAUUGCUCCAUCACCAGUGUGAUAUUGGGUCAGAUUGGAUUGCAAAAGAUGUCAAAUUUCAGAGUGGAUGUUGUCCGGCUCUCCGAUUACCUGCUUAGUCUAACUAGAGCUUCUGUAAAAGCAUUAUUAUUAUUAUCUCAAUAAAACUGUAAGUGAAGAAGUGUAUAUAACCUUUCAUUCAGUCACUUAAAAUCAUUCAUUUUCUUUGUGGCUCAAAAGCUCAUAUCCCUUUACUAUUGUAGUGCAAAAAAAAAAAAAAAAAAAACUAGUCUUUUUUGUUCUCUGAAUAUUUAAUACUAUUUAAAUUAGAGGAUCAAUUUUAAAAGCUAGGUGUAACGGGCACUAAAGGUUUAACGACAGGACUUAUUGGACCAUCAAAGAGUCAAUCAUUAAUAAGAGUACUUUUCCCCUUUUGGCGGUGAAAAGUAACCUAUAAUGGAGUUAAAUUCAUGGAAAUGAUGACUUUUUUUUUUUUUGAGAAAUAGAUAGCACGCUAUCUGGUUCAUUUAUUUCAUUUAAAAAUAAACUUAACUGAAAAUAUGAAUCAAUUAAGAUUCAAAUUUGGGUCUCGAAUACUAACUAUCGAAUUCUUUACCAUUUGCUCUAGUGACGGUUGGUAGCAUCAAUCUCUUACUACAAAACAAUUUAUGGCACUCUUGAUAAUCAUCUGUGUCUCCUGACUUUACGGUCAUUUAUUUUUGCAGUGGACGUUGUACACAGCAGUCAUUUAGUAGAUUCAUAAAUUCACAGAGGACGGCCGUAUAAAUGUGGAAAUAGAUAUAGAUAACACGUGUGCUUUUCUGUGUUAUCGAGGAUUCAGGGGCUAUUAAUUACGGGAAUAUUUCUUCGUCGCCGAUCGAUUAAACUUAUUGAAAAGUUUGAAUAAGAAAUUAAGCUAGCGGCUACGAACUUAAACAUCGACUUUUUUAUUACGAGCCAAUUGGGAAGCGCAAUGACUUACGCCUAACACACAUACACAAAAGUAAUAAAAAUAGGUGUUUAAUACUAAUAAUAAUCAUAUCCAGAUGUAACAUUUAUUAGUUAGAAAAUAUGCGAGUGAAAAGUUCUCCCUCCAUUAGAAUCAAACUACACAACAAGAUGAAGGCGACCAACGACCGAGAUAACUAUUUUUAACUUGUUUCCUACUAAAUCGAUUCUUUAGGUAAAAGAACAUCAGAACUGAUCACAUUCGAUUCUCACAUUCGACAUUUAGUGAUAUUUCUAUUAUCUUUUAAGGCGGCAUACAUUUUACUGUUUACUUGAUCUUCAUUAUAUAUAUGAGCAAAAAUAUUAAAACUAUUUAUAAUUUUAUUUUGGGAGUUAAUAAUCAUUAUAAUUGCUGCUUCAUGCGAUCAAGUUGAAGCCUAAUGUGAUAAGAUGGUGGUUAAAAAUAUUAUUUUUAUAAAUCUAAAAGUGUUCAAUAAUAAGCCGGAGUCCAGCUCAAAACCAAACCCGAUUCGACAGUUGUUCCUAUCUAAUAUUAAUGACUCUUAUUAUUAUUAUUAUUAUUAUUAUUAUUAUUAUUAUUAUUUUGAAAGAAACAUCCUCUUCCACCUAAAAAAUAUAAUAAUCCACAUUACGUCCUGCAUGACGGUUUCAUAAUUACCGCCGGCGUUCGAAUCUUUGGAAUCUGACAUUCCCGAGCUUCAUUUCCUUGUCUCGUGGCCUCCCCCUCACAGCUAGCACCCAAACCCUUCCCCUUGGAACCUCCGCCACGUGGCUUCUCGACACCCCUCUCUCUCUGAACUUUUCUAUUUGUCUCUCUCUCUCUCUCCUACGUGGCCAAGUCAACUCAGAAAGAUUCAUAUGGUAAUUUAAUAAACUUAUGGUAGGUUAGAAACUGGAAAUAUAAAUAAUUUCAACUAAUAGUGCUGGGAACAAACUAAACGAUUAAUCAAAUAAUAUUGGGAUAUAUGGUAUAGGGAGUAGCCAUGUAUGGCCUUUAGGGUGCGUUUGGUUCGCGCUAUUUUUUAAAAAUUUUUAAUAAUCCAAUGAGAAUAAAAAAAUAUGACGGUGUUUGGCUAAACGCACUAAGUAAUUCAGUUGGUAAUAUUGAAUUCACUUGGAAAUAAGAUUCACCUCAAAGUACUAAUCUCAUUCUCUUAAGGGAGGGUGGAUAUCCUCAUAUUAAUGAAUUUAAGUAAUCAUAAUAUAUCUAAUCUCUUUCUUUCUUCCUACCCGCCGGCUAGUUGAUAUUAUUUUUCUUUACAUUCUAACCUUAUAUCUCUCUCUAAACUUUUUUUUUUUUUAAAAAUUCAACUUUUUUUUCUCUCUCUAAACUAAGCUUUCUCUCUCUCUCUUUCUAAAAUUUCAACUCUCUCACUCCCUCUAAUUUCGACUAUAUUUUUCUUUCUAUAUUUUUAAUUAUGCUCUUUUUUUCUAACUUAUACUCUCUUUCCUUUUUUUCUAAAAAGAUGUUGAAAUUUUUGAUAACAUUAUCUAAAAUUAAAUAAAUAAAUAAAUUAAUUAAUUAUUAUUUCUAAAAAAAAUUAAUUAAUUAAUUAUAUAUUUUUUUGUAAUAUUAGAUAACAUGGCUAAUUAAUAUUACCGUGCGAAUCAAAUAUAGGAGUGCCAUAUUCUUAGUAAUAGAAUGAAUAGGAAUAAGAUUCUCAAAUAUCUUUUAUUUCUAAUAAUAUUUUAUAGUGCAAACCAAACGCACCCUUAUAUAUAUCCUCCACCCUCCUAACCUAGACCAUUUCGUUAUUCUACCUAUCCAUGCACCCUCCUCCCAUGGAGAAGCUCUCAACAUGGGUGACCACAAUAUGGCUUCUCCUUCUGCUUUUCCAUGCAGCAGAAGCUGAGCAAGAUGACGUGAAGCGCUCCCUCGUCAACUUCCUCAAGAAGCUCUCGGGCAACGACACCCACAUCGACCGGAAGCUGGGCUGGAACGCGACCUUCGAUCCGUGCGUGCACCAAAAUUGGACCGGAGUUAAUUGCAGCGCGACGACGAACUCGAUAAAAAGUAUCGUGCUCGAAGGUUUGGGACUUACUGGUUCGAUCGAUGCUGGUCUCCUUUGCAAGGCACGAUCUCUCUCCGUCCUCAGCCUCCGCGACAAUGCCCUAAGCGGCGAACUCCCUGCCGACAUAUCAAACUGCAGCCAACUGACCCAUCUGUACGUCGGAGGAAAUCGCUUCUCAGGUUCUCUUCCUUCCUCGCUCGAGCUUCUAAAUAACCUGAAGAGGCUUAACAUAUCCUACAACAGCUUCUCCGGCGAGUUACCGGACUUUUCUAAGAUCUCGGGGCUACUAACCUUUCUAGCACAAAACAACAGCCUUACUGGGACUAUUCCUGCAUUUCAUUUCACCAACCUUGUUAGCUUCAAUGUCUCCUACAAUUCUUUGCGUGGUCCAGUCCCUGAAAAUGGUGGCCUUUUUGGUGUAGAAAGCUUCACUGGUAACCCAGGUUUGUGUGGGAAACCACUUCCUAUUGCAUGUCCACCGUCGCCAUCUCCUUCGCCGUCUCUGUCAACGGAAGAAAAAGGAGAUUCCAAGAAGUCCAUAGGCGAUAAAACUAUCAUGCUCUCCGGGUAUAUAGCUCUUGCCGUGGUCUUCUUACUGUUCCUUUCAUACAAGGUGAUCUUCUUUCUAUACAAAAAGCAGCAGCAGAAGAAGAAGAGUGAAGAAAUGAAGGGGAGUACUGGGGGUGAUGAGAAGGUGGGGAGUGAUGAGAAGGUGGGGAGUGAUGACAACUCCAAGCCUCCGAGCAAGUCGCGGUCGGAGUACUCGCUUCCUCCCUCUGGAGAGCAGAGUGCGCAUACCGCGUCGACUUCGCUGGUAGUUCUUAAGGAUUCCGCGUCGAAGAAGGAGCUGAGGUUCGAGGACUUGUUGAAGGCUCCUGCAGAGUUGAUGGGGAGGGGCAGGUUUGGGAGUUUAUAUAAGGUGAUGCUGCAGGAUGGGAGCGCCUUGGCUGUGAAGAGGAUUAAGGAUUUAUCCAUCUCUGUUGAGGAUUUUAAGAGGAGGAUGGAGAGGAUAAGCAGAGUGAACCACCUCAAUGUUCUUCCUGCUGUGGCUUUCUAUUGCUCCAUGCAGGAGAAGCUGGUGGUCUACGAUUACCAAAAGAAUGGAAGCCUCUUUAAGCUCCUACAAGGUAAGUGAGGCACGAAUCCAUCAUAUUUACAUAUGUAUUCCUCCAAAAUAACCUAAUUACAUGUACAAUUUUGCAAAAAGUAUAAACCUCUUAUAAUCAUGUCCCUCUUUAAAAAACUUGCUUAGUUUUUCUAAUUAAACCAACUUUUUCCUCCAAGUAUUGGAUGAGAAUUUUGCAUGUAUUUUUAUUUAUUAAUAUGAAUUAUAUAAAUUAAUUUAUACGCAACACAUCAGCAUGUCAGCAGAUUAGCGAUCUAUAUACACACACACAAGGAUAAUAUAAUAGUACUCUUUACGUGGAAUCAACAAUGUACAUUUAACUCAGACAACUUUGAAUGUACAUUUACAUAAAACCCCUCGGAAAUCUCAAUGAUGAUUAAACAACCCUUUUUUAAUAUUCAGGAGGUGGUGGGGAACAAAACCACAAUUUCGGCUGGAGCAGUAGGCUAAACAUGGCCACAGCCAUCGCCGAGGGCCUCUCCUUCAUGCACGAAGAGCUCCACGAAGAAGGGAUCGCCCACGGCAACUUCAAAUCCUCGAACAUCCUAUUCACGGCCAACAUGGACCCCUGCAUCAGCGAAUACGGCCUCACAUCCCCGCCCUCCGUCGUCGCCGCAGCAGCCGACCACCUCCUCUUCUCGUCGUCGUCGUCUCGAAGCGCCGGCAACUCCACCUCGGCUGCCGCGCCGUUCAAGUCCGACGUCCGCAGCUUCGGGCUGGUCCUCCUGGAGCUGCUGACGGGGAAGGCGGCGCACAGCGACGGGUCCGACCUGGCGCGGUGGGUGCAGUCGGUGGUUCGGGAGGAGUGGACCGUCGAGGUGUUCGACAAGCGCCUCCUCGCCGACGGCGCGAGCGAGGAGGGCGUGGUGCGCCUCCUGCAGGUUGCGCUCAAGUGCGUCAACUCCGCCGCCGAUGCCUGCCCCACCAUGCGCGAAGUCGCGGGGAUGGUCAACUCCGUUAAGGAGGAGGAAGAGGAGAGGUCCAUAGUCUCCGAGGAGGGAUGAUGCAUGCAUGCAUGCAUGGCCAGUUCUUUGGUAAGGAGUUUUAUUAGCGUUAGACGAGCAUUAGUAUUCUUGUUUGUUGUCGGAGAAAUUAUUAUUGCUGUGGACUUCGUCCACCGCGUCAGCCGUGGACCUCCCAAACUAUUCUUCCUCGUCACUCUACCUUUCAAAAUCACAACCCUUAGAUAAAUAUAUUAAAUAUAUUACCCUUUUCAAUUUAAAAGGAAUUAAAAAUGGAGGGUGGAUUGUAAUUGGAUGGUUCGCGGCUAACAUGGUGGACUAGAUUCAGACGGUAAUUUUACCUGUUGUUGAGGCCUUUUUGUUUUGUUCAUCUAUAAUUUAGAACUAAGAUAUUAUCAUCUUUUUUUUUAAUUGCCAACAGAAUAUAGUCGAACUGAUGAGCUUACCGUCAAUGGUGGCAUUUAUUGUUUUAUUUGUUACUAUUUUGAAGUAAUCCUAAUUAAUUGUUUGAUUGUUUGAUUCUUUCUAGUUAUGUUUGCAUCAUCAUUUGAAUACUCAACAAAUAAUUCCUCAAAUAGAGAUUUCGUACCUAACCUGUAUUCGUUUAUAAUAUCACAUUUAUUAAAUUUUAUAGAACUACCAUUAUCUACGAUAGCUUAAACUAUUGAGAUUUUUAACAUUAAUAUUCAAUAUCUUUUCACACAUUUGGACUUGAGAUUUUUUGAUGGGUUCCAAGAUGUAGGUUUGAGUUAAAUAAAAAAAAAAUUAAUUAAACUAGAAACUAGCUAGACUGGAGCUCGAAAUCUCUUGCUCUGAUAUUAUAUUGGAUUAUAUAUAAAAUACUUAUUUCUAGUAGCUUAAAUUAGCAUAUAAUAAAAUAUUAAUAUUUGUAUUCAACUAUAUAUAUUGAUGAGAAUUGAGAAACAAGCAGCUUAAAACAUGAUUACAAGUAAAGCAUCUUCCAAUUGAAGUGUAUAAGCAAGGAAAGCAAGAGCUUCAAUUUCGACACUAGAUGAUUUCGACACUAGAUGCUCGUAUCGUUUGCUUACUUAUAUGUUAUAUCCAUAUCAGAAUAUAUAUAUAUAUAUAUAUAUAUAGAGUGAGGCUACUAUGCUAUCGGAAGCACGGAGCCUUCCGUGCUUCCAGCUCGUUUUCGAUGUUGCGACUUUCGAAUCGUCGAUCGGCUCCGUUAAACUUGAUCGAGAGUAUUUGGAGUACCUAGAAAAUAAAUUUUAUUAUUUUUCGAUAUCAUUUGCCUANAUUCAAAAUCCAUAAUUUUUAAUGAUUGAUAUCUGUCGUUUUCAAGUUUAACGGUGUAGAAGUAUUUAAAUCAGAUAAAAUUUUGAUACAAAAUUCUUUAUACUAUCUAUAACAAGAUCAAUAUUUCUGAUCGAAAAUUUUAGUGCUAUAUCACAAUUUUUUAUAGAAUUUUUAUUUUCAACCGUUAAAAAUUAUUGAUUUUAAAUCCUUUCGAUUGCUAGGUAAAUGAUAUCGAAAAAUCACAAAAAUUAUUUUCUAGAAACUUCAAAUACGCUAGAUCAAGUUUAACGGAACCGAUCGUUGAUUCGGAAACUCCAUCAUCGAAAACGGCCCAGGAGCACGAAGGCCUCCGUGUUCCUGAGAGCACAGCAGCCCUGCUCUCUCUCUCUCUCUCUAUAUAUAUAUAUAAAAGAGAUAGAUAAAAUGCUACUCACUUCGUUUAUUUUAUUUAGAAAUAAAUUUAGCUAGAAAUAUAAAUCAAUUAGAAUUCGAACUUGAGACCUCGGGUAUCAACGACUAUGACCUUUACCACUUGCUUUAAGGACAAUUGAUUAUUAUAAUAAUAUUAUUAAUGAGUCAGUUUUAUAUUCUUGUUCCUGAAUCACAAUUUGGAGCUAAAAAUUAGCUUGGACCGGAUCACACCAUGCCGAGGCUAUAACUCGAUCCCACCAGACCCUGAACGGGCCCACACCUGAAGAUAUGCUGACGUCAUUGCAGAUCAUGAUUUCGUCAGCUCCUCGGGCAAGAACUUGAGUGAUCGUCCAAAUAAAGAUGGAAAACAAAAAGAAAGAGUCAAAAUGUACGAAGACCCAAAAGGCUAUUUUGAAGUAGAUUCUUAAACUGCAUUCUCUUAAAUUAUUUUUUUUAAAAAAAUUUCAAUUAAUUUAAUUUAAGUUAUAAAGUUAUUUGAAUUACGAAAAUUCCAGAAUUAAUGACUUUGGAAGUUACCAGGUGUUAAAAUGAAUGUUCUGGGACAAUCUCGUAGAUUUUUAUUAGAUAAAAAUCUAAAUUAAAUAGAAUUAUCAGAAAAACUUUAAAUGUCCUCUUAUGGUUUCAUUCUUUCUCACUUUAGUAUUAUGUGGUUUAAAAUAUAUCAAGUUAGUACCCUGUGAUUUCGCACUUUCUCUCUUUAAUAUCCUGUGGUUUAAAGUGUGUCGAGUUAGUACCAUGUGGUUUCACACUUUCUUAUUUUAGUACCCUGUAGUUUAAUAUUUCAUUAAGAAAAAAAUAAAACCACAGAAUACUAACUUGAUAGAAAAAUAAAAUCAUAAAGUACUAACUUGAUACACUUUAAACCACAGGGUACUAAAGUGAGAAAGUGCAAAAUCAUAGGGUACUAACUUGAUGCACUUUAAAUCAUAGGAUACUAAAAUAAAAAAAUACGAAACCACCUGAGGUUUUUUAAAAUUUUUUCCUAAAAUUUAAUAAAAAUUUUAAUAUAUUUAAUGUAGUCAUUUAAUUCAAAAGAAUUGAAACUCAAUGUGCAAAAAAAAUAAAGAAAAAAAUGUUCAGGGGCCAAUUGCGGGAACAGUUACAUUUGAGGGGUUUCGUACCAAUUUUUUUUUUUUACCUAAAAUCACUUUUUUAGUAGUUAAAAAAUAGAGAUUUGGGUCCCUGUAGGGUUUUUGGGCCAUUUGGCUUCUUUUUUGCUUCAACCAAAACCAAAAACCAAAGAGAGAGAAAACACAACCCACCACCUCAAAGAAGCUUGAGAAGAAGAUCCCACUUCUUCUCCAACGGAGGAGGGGCUUGGGCUUCCUAAACUGAAGAGGUAGGCUAUAUUUUUCUUUUUUAUUUCUUUUUAUUUUAUUUUUUAAUCUCCCCUUCCCAUUCUACAUUCUCGUUGUAAUCUAACAAACGUUACAGGGUAAAAACAAGACGUGGCUUUUCCCUCGCCAUGUUCCUGCUUUUGUGAUCUGCGCUUCAACUAAAAGCUGGGAACCAUUUUUGUUCUUGUUCAGUACACAAAGCGCUUUUGUUUUCUUUCACAUUUGUUUCCCAAGUUGCGAAAAAAGAAACAAAAAGAAGAAAAAAAAAAAAAAAAGGUUUUGAUUUUUUUUGAUUUUUUUUUUUGAAUUUUUGGGUCCAUCCUAGCUAUUUUGUCAAAUCAAAUGACUUGGGUUUUGCCCCCAAAUCAAGGAAGGAGAUGGUUGCUCUUCUAGCCCACUCAUCAUCAUCAUCAUCAUCAUCCACUGCAAAUUCAAAUUCCUGGGUUUUGUCCCACACCAAGAGGAGAGAUCAUGUUACAAAUUCCCAAAUAAGAGACUCACUGCCCUAUUCAUCAGCCCAACCCCCACCACCAACACCCCAACAAUCUCCCAGCAAUAGAAUAAGCCCUGCAAUCCUCUUCAUCAUAGUGAUCCUCGCCGUCGUCUUCUUCGUCUCCGGCCUCCUCCACCUCCUUGUGAGGUUCUUCGCGAAGAAAACCCCACCACCCGGUAGCACUUCACCCCAUUCCGGUAGUAGGCAGCAGCCGGCAGAGGCCUCGGGCUCCGACGCCCUCCAGCGGCAGCUCCAGCAGCUCUUCCACCUCCACGAUUCGGGCCUUGAUCAAGCGUUCAUUGAUUCGCUGCCGGUCUUCCUUUACAAGGAGAUCGUCGGCCCGAAGGAGCCGUUCGACUGCGCGGUCUGUCUGUGCGAAUUCGCCCUCGAGGACAAGCUCCGGCUUUUGCCCGUCUGCGGCCAUGCUUUCCACCUCAGCUGCAUUGACACAUGGCUGCUCUCCAAUUCCACGUGCCCGCUUUGUCGGCAGCCGCUGUUUGUCCAAGGCCUUGCGAUCGAGAACCCCAUCUUUGAAUUCGACGAUUCGAUCGAGGAAGAUAGUUUUGCCGAGGACCGGGAAGCGGAGUCGGGGAAUGAGAAGAGAGUUUUUCCUGUUAGGCUCGGCAAAUUCAGGAGCUUGAGCAGAAGAGACGGAGGUGUCGAAAAUGAUAACGGCGGUGCCGUUAUAAGUGCGGGAGAAGAGGUAGGGGAGGCCAGUAGUAGUAAUUUGGACGCGAGGAGGUGCUAUUCCAUGGGCACGUAUCGGUAUGUGCUCGGUGAUGUAAAUCUUCGAGUUUCUCUGAGAAGUUCUCAUAAAAGAAACGGAGUCCGUAGGAAUUUCGCUGAUAAUGAGGUUCUGGAAGGAAAGAGGAUAUGCGCGGGGAGCAAAGGCGAGAGCUUUUCUGUGUCGAAGAUCUGGCAAUGGCCGAAUAAGAAGGGGAAGUUCCCUAUCAGCUAUUCAGAUGCAGGCUCCGUCGAUGGGAGUAUGCCAUGGAUGGAAAGAAGUGUUCAGGAUACAUAAAAACAAAUGUGUGAUGUGAUCAAUCCAUCUUUUUCUUGAUGAUUAUAUUAAUAUAUCAUUCAUGUGUUGAUUUUAUAAUGUUCUCCUUUUGUUACUUAACUUCUUUUGUGCUCAAUUAUAAAUGUCUGUGGGUGCGUGUGCUAACAUUGUUUUAGUUCUGUCUGAUCUUGGUUUUUCAUGCUGUUGUCUCGGAUAUCAUACUACCGAGUCAUAAUUCCACCUUUCUAACUAGGUUCCCAAAGUUCAUACAAAAUUACAAAUGUAGAGUGCUAAAACACGUAAGGUAUUUGUUAGAAUGAGCUGCUAUCCCUUUUUUGUGAAAAUUUAUAUAUAUUGCUAGAAUGUCUAGUUUGAAAUCCCAAAGUUCUCUUCGAUCUUUUACCAGUUGAAAACCUUUUUUUUUUUUUUUUCUUCUAUUGGUUCUAUUUUCUCCUGAGGAGGUGAUGGAGACUAUAAUUGUCCCUUCCUACUAACUAUAUUUGACAUGGAGAUUAGAGGUUUUCUUAAUAUUGUGGUGAUGGAUCCAGCUGGGUGGUCGAAAAGAGUUUUUCUUGAGAGUGAAGGGGGAAGAAUAUUUCUUCGUUUUAUUUUCUCCUUCUCGUCCUGUUUUUCCCCUUUUUUUUCUUUGCUUUGAUUCGUUUCAUUUUGAUGCUUUGUUCUUCUCUUACUUCAUCUUAAGUAAAAUAAGAACCACUAGUUCUCGUAUUGCUUCGCUAGGAAGUUUUGAAACCAGCAAAUUGGAGAGAGAUGUCUUAGCUCGCAAAGCAAGUAACUAAAUUUGCUUUCAUAUCUUUAUCAGAGGUUAGUAGAUCUGUACAUUAUGUUACAUUGUAUGAGUAGGUAGAGGUGAUACAUCGUAUUAUACUAAUCAUAGUUGGAGCUUUGUUAACUUCAUUGAUGCAAUGCUGAUAUUGAUACUCUGAGAAUAAGUAAACGAAAGCCAACCUAUUACUUGGACUCAGUAUUAUGUUAUAAAUGGCACAAGUAGGAUAAUAUGCUGUUUGACAGAGAAAUCCUAUCCGCAAGGCUUCAAAUAUAGUGUAUUGACUAUUGGCAUGUGGAACAGCAUAUGACAAUGGGGUUCCAUGGGUACAUGGUUAAAGAUUAGAUUCAUGGAUGUUGCCAAGCCAAAAUGGAAAAUAUUACAUAUGUGAGUAUCUUUUUUUAAGUUUAGUGCACCUAACAAGAUGUAAAAUGUUUUCUUGUUAUCAUGUUUCUUCUCAAGAAGCAGUUUAAAGUGCCAAUGGGAGAUGGCGAGUUUUACUGAACAUGCGUCCGGUGAAUCGUUGUUUUCACACAAAUUAGUGUUUCGGAAGGAAAACAGGAAGUGUAAAGGGCAGCAGUAAAAUGUUUCUGAUCAAAAGAAUAGUUGGUUAUGGUGUAUCAGAAAGUUGUGGUGUUUAUCCAAGUAUUUUAUACUCUCUACCUUUGUGGACAAUCUUUCUGCAAGUAUUUUUAUACUCUGUACCUUUGUGGACAAUCUUUCUGCUAAAAGGUGAAGAAUGGGGCUUUGCUUGUUCCCAAACGCAACAAUAUUCCUCGAAUCAACUUGAAAAUUUUCUUUUGUAGUUUGUUUAACUUGAAUAACAACGAGCUUAAACUGAAGCAACUUUCAUUUCUAAUGAUGGCCAUGGUAAUUAUUGACCUGUACAGUAGAAAUUAUUACUGCUACUACGUCAAUAUGGUAUGAGCUCUCUACCUGAUCUGGUAACUUGUAGCAAGUCUUUGUGACUUUUCAAUAUACUCCUGUGCAGAGCAAUCUUUUGCAGUCAUCAAGUGAUUGGAUCGCUACUAUUUUUUCUAAAAACCUAUCUGCUUUGUAACAUUACUUUAAGCCACUUCCACUCUUACUGCUGGUAUGUUAAUUUCCUUCUCUUUUCAUCCCCCUUUGCUCUGAAGAAUCUCCCAGGUUACUUUUUCCAUAACUGAAGAAAAAAGCGAGUGGACAAGAGUUACUUGGGUGUCGAACUUUACAAGAAGGGCUUUUGUUGUAUAUGUAGUUUUACUCCUUACUUACACAGGAUGUGAAAUUACAAGAAUAAAGCGUUUGAGCAUGUUGUGUCAAAAUCUUAAAAUGACAUCUUUGUUAGCUCCGUUAUACAAGAAAAUAUAGGCCCCUGUUUAGUGUUACUAUACAUUGUGUUUUUUCAGAUGUACAAUUUACUGGGUUGCUCAGGGUCACAAAUUUACUAACAAUAACCAUUCACAGCCUAUCGCAAAAUGAUGAUGAUGAGUCGAUGACCACCAACAAUAACUACAACAUACCAACAACAGCAGCAACAACAACACCAAUGACAAUAAAUAAUACUCGAAUAACAAUAGAUUAAAUCCGUCUAGUGAGUCAAUCUUUCUCUGAAUGAGCAGUAAAAGAAAAAAAAAGGGCAUGAUAAAUAACAGACACCUUAAUGCAAAAUUACAUAGAGAUAUUCCAUGGAUAAGCACAUAUCAAAGAAAUAUUAAUUCUACUCUGGGAUUGACCUUUUGUUGCAGGAUAAUAUCUUGGGCUUGCUUCCAGCUAGGAUAGUCUGAUAAAUGGAUCGAUUUGUAUGACCACUUGCCUCCUCCCAGAUACAUUCUCCCUUUUGAGUUGAUAAUUAACCGCUCACGAGCAAUGGCAUUGUUAAGCAAAUAAAUAGCAAGUUCCACUUCAUUGCAUUCAUUAGUGAAUCCACUGAUUUCGGCUUCCUUCAGCUGACAAUGGUGUUUAUAAGUAGGCUUUUUCUUCUGAGUUUCAGCACUGUAAGAUCCAUCGCAGAGCUGUUACCAAAACCAAUAAACAUCAGGUUCAAAGAUGAAGAGCACACAAUCUUGUAUGUUAGUGAACAAAAUAUAUCAAGGAGCGGAUAUAAUCCAAAAGAGCGAUUUCGUCGUAAGUCCACAUAUCUUGUAUGGCAUUGCUCAAGAGCAUUUUAUGAUCCUCUUGUAAAAAUUAGUACUUUGAGGCUGCAUUUGAUUUGGGUAUAAAUAAGAACUUUUUAUUCCAAAAAUAGGUAUAAGUUCAGGUAUAAGCAGGAACUAGACCAAUUUUGCGUUUGGAUGAAAAUUAGUUUAUUCCUAGGAAUAAGAUAAAUAGUGUUUGAAUGGUUAGAUGGGAACAAAGGGAAUAAGGCUUAUAAUUUUAAAUUAAAAAUAUUCUAUCUAAUUAAUUAACAUCAAAAUAUUACUUAAAAAUAAUUUAAUAAAUUAAUAAAUUUAUUAGCUAUGAAUAUUAUAUGAGAUAAUGAAAAUAUAUUAAUUAAUUAAUUAAAUAUAAAAAAUAAUUUAAUUUUUUAAUUAUUUAGUAAAUUAUUUUAGCUAGAUAACUAGUAAAAAAAUUAAUUAGAUUAAUAGAAAUAUUAAUUGUUGAUAAAUAUAAAUAUUAGUUUAUAGAUAAAUACAUUAAAUAAUAAUUUAAAUAUAUUAAUUAGAUUAAUUAACGAUUUAAUACCAUAAUUAAAAUUAAAUUUAGAUUUUAAUUAACCUUGUUUCCACCUGGGAACAAACUUGUUCCAAGGAAAAAGGUGGAUUAGCAAUUCCAGCCUUAUACCAGCUUAUUUCAGAAAUCCAAAAACUACUAUUCUUUGGUACCAAACGCACCGUUUAGGAACAAAGGGGGGAACAAGGGCUUAUUCCCCCCUUGUUCCCGAACCAAACACUGCCUGGGAGAACAAUAAAGGUAUGAUAGACAUGAAUCCUAUUUUUACGACCAACAAUAAUUAAGAUAUGAAUCUUCAACUUUGCACAUUAAUCGCGAGAGCUCAUCAUAUAGAAAAGAUCAAAGAAGAGUUGCAAAAUAGAUAGUUACACAAUGAAAAGCCAGAUUAGAUAGUACCGAAAGUUGCAAAAAACUGUAUCAACUCACCGAAAUAUGGAACUUCUCCUGAAGAGGACAAGCAUCAAGAAAAUACGUAGCAGAAAGAGGGUCAAAAUCGCUUGGGGCAAGAAAAAACAACUCCAAUUGUUUGAGAAAGCUGAAUUUACUCACAUUUGCAGGUAUUGGCUAUGUCUGUAGACACAAGAAAUUGCUAAUUAACACAUCUUUAUAGAUAGGGUGUGCAAAAGAAAAACCAAUUAUCACAGGAAAAUUUCUAAACUAUGUCGUAAAUAUAGACACCCUCACAAACCUCAAAAAAGACUAGUGACAGAGACUUCAGGCAAGGAAGAUCUCUUGCUAUGCCAUGGUACAUAUAUUCUGACCCCUCGGCAAAUGGAUGCAGAAAAGCCAUGUACAAUUUCUCUAGACAGGGAACUCUAACAAAUAUGAAAUUUUUAACUCUACCCCUGUAAUCAAAUGUCUUGAGACUAGUGGAACUAAUAAAGAUAUUAGAUAACAAACCAUAACAAUCACGCAAAGUUAAUAUCUUCAGAUGACGUAAUUGAUAGCAUAUCGUGAGUCUUUGGCAGGUCACAUGUUUCCAGUCUCCAGGACUCAAGGUUAAGACAACAUGAAUGUAUACUUUGAAUAUCACUUGCAUCCAGAGGGACUCUAUUCAAAUCGAGCGUCUUCAAAGAACUGAACUGGUCUAUGAAAUUUGAAGGUUUCAGCAAGCAUGUUUCGAGGCACAAACGCUUUAAGUAAGAUGAUUUACUGCAGGGAAGGAGAUGACAUGGGAAAUUAUAAAGGCCAUAAUUAGGUGAUAUAUUAGAAAGGGCGCGAGAUCAAUCUUCCUUGCUCUCAUCCUCAGUGCCCAACUGAUCCAGCUAUCGAUAUGACAAGCAGACUCAUCUCCAAGUCGAAAACCGACCGUGAAGCAAUAUAUAUCUCGUGAUAGAGCUUCAUAAACAUGCAAAAUCUGGUUAACCUCUCUUAUAAGUUUAUCCUUAAACUCAUUAUUGACAAGAAGACAAGAGCAUCGUCCAAUUUGAAUUCCAAACAUAGUAAGAGGGUCGAGGCAUAGGUUAGAUACGAAUGUAGGAUGACGCCUCCAUCUACGCGAUAGUAACUUUGCCUUGGCAGCAUCUCGCAAGGUAAGAAGCGAGAAGAUGCGAUUAAGAAUGUCGUCCGGCAAUUCACUGAUAUGGUCUCUGGUGUGAGCGUUUUGCUACAAAAAAUGUGUAAAUUAGCAAGAUCUCACUUUCCUAACUUUAGGAAGAUAAUAAAGAAUAAUGCGAUAAGUAAUAAAUAGAUGACUUGAGCUAGGGUGCUAUUUAUAGCACCAAGCCUUUCAUGUUAUAGGCCAUUAAAAAUAUCACUUUUGAGACCACUUGAUAAUUAAGAAAUAGAUUCAUGAAAUUUGAUUCCAAGGAAGUUCAAAUAUCCUAAAUCAGAUUCACUGAUGAUGAUUGUCGAAAUGAAUGCCCAAACAUUGAAAAUGAUCGAUAGCACAAAAGGCUCGAUCCUACUAUUAGCACCCCGGUCUAGCUCAUAAGUAGAUCAUCAACUUUAUUUUGCAACCAAAACACAGGAACAACAAGCAAACAUAACAGUUCCUGGCAAGCCAUAGAUAAGAUAGGCAUGGGACACUAGAAAUGCAGUGCUCGAACCAACACACCUGCUGCCUAAGCAGUCAAGACUCAAGAGCACCACAUGUUACCUAAUCAACAAUAACAUAUUUACCAAGAAAUUGGAAAAUAACAUGAAAGUUAAAAAUGUGCGGGACCUGUGUGAACUACAACAAAUUUUGAAAGCAUCGGCUGAUUUUGAAAUUUGAUUUUACAACCUAAGUUUAGUAUUUAUUAGAUUUGUCGAGUCACUUGAUGGCGCUUCCCAAACGGAAUCUUGAUAAGCCAUAUGUUUUUAUGGGACUUAAUUAGAGUAUCUUAUAUGAUUCACACGACUACAUCCUGUUAAAAGUUUUAUAAGCACGGUCAAUUAAAACGAAAUCGUGAAAUAAAAUAUGGUCUGUUAAAGCGGAGAGAAAUUUAUUCUUUUUGCCUAAUUAUUAAAACACGAGAAAUUGAUUGAUAACACCUGGAAAUGAGUCUCAAGUAAAGCUGCUAGAUUUAAAUAGAACAACUCCAGUCACAAUCCACCAAUGGAAUUGCACCAAAAGAAAAAAAAAAAAAAAAAAAAAAAAAAAAGGUAAAUAAGACGGAGCAGAAAAACAGAACCAGAUUUGCUCAUAUGUGAAGUGAUAAUCCGAACGAGCUCCAGAUCAUAGGGUUUUAGGCGCACAGAAAAAUCAUAUUUAGAGAAGAUAGCCUCAUACAUGUAGAAUAGGUGCACAAAAAAGUUGUACCUGAAAUUGGCUAACCGUUUUGGAGUGCUCCAUCUCAGAGUAUAAGGAAGGCGGCUAGGCGAGCGAGAAGAGUUCCAGACUGCCUUCGGCUGAGAUCGGGGUAGACUAAUUAGUACUCGAGAAAAUAUGCCGACGCCGACGGCUAGGGUUCAUUCAGGAGGAAUUAAUUCUAAUUUGAUAUAUUCUGCACUCCGACCGGGCGAAUUAGAGCUAAUCCAAAACGAAAAGGAAUAAUUUAUACAACUCCCUAAUAAAGAUAUAUUAAAUUAUGAAUAUAUCUCCUCCUGCCUUUUUCGGCCAGAACUAAUACCAGAAAAGCCAAACAGAUCACCACGGAACACCAUGAUUUUAAUGGGGACAAAGUCAAUGAUCUUCAACCUAGCCAAAGGCUUAAGCUACUUUGCAUGUAUGAAUUAAGACUAUGAAGGCUAAAACUAUGAAAACUACAAGGACUAAGGCCCCCGUUUGGAUACCGUUAAAAACGUAGCAUAAUGCUACACUAGUAAAAAAUUUAUACAAUUAUCGUAAUUUUUGGAUCAUAGGUAAACUAUACUAAAAAAAAUAGAGUAAAAUUAUAAUUCACUCUAACCAAAGAAAAAGAAUUCCACUAUUUUUGGACAAAGAUGCAUAAGUUCUAACUUUUAAAUUUCAACAUUAAAUUUUAAAUUUCAACAUAGAUUUCAAAUUUUAAAUUUUACAAUUUAAUUUAAAUUCAAAUUUUUAAUUUCAAAUUUUAAAUUUGAAUUUUAAAUUUGAAAUAUCAAAAAUUAAAUUUUAUAAUUUCAAAAUUUAAAUGUCAAAUUUUAAUUUUAUAAAUUCAAAUUUUAAUUUUCGAAUAUCAAAUUUUAGAUUUUAGUUUACAAAUAAUAAAUUUCAAAUUUUAAUUUUUUAAAUUUAUAAUUUUAAUUUUUAAUUCUAAAUUUUUUAUUUUCAAAUUUAAUUUUAAAUUUCAAAUUUCAAAUUUCAAAUUUAGAAUUUCAAAUUUCAAAUUUAGAAUUUCAAAUUUUAUUUUAAAUUUUAGUUUUCAAAAUUUAAAAUUUAAAUUUUAAAUUUCAAAUAUCAAAUUUUAAACUUCAAAUUUUAAAUUUUAAAUUUUAAAUUUCACAUUUUAAUUUUCAAAUUUCAAAUUUCAAAUUUAGAAUUUCAAAUUUCAAAUUUAGAAUUUCAAAUUUUAUUUUAAAUUUUAGUUUUCAAAAUUUAAAAUUUAAAUUUUAAAUUUCAAAUAUCAAAUUUUAAACUUCAAAUUUUAAAUUUUAAAUUUUAAAUUUGAAGUUUAAAAUUUGAUAUUUAAAAUUUAAAAUUUAAAUUUUAUUGAAAUUUGAAAUUUGAAAUUUGAAAUUUUAACUUUUAAUUUUAAAAUUUAGAGAAAUUCCAUGAAAUUGCACAAUGCGCAUCCAAACAGUUUAAAAAUUGAAUCCGUGAAAUUUUUUUAGAGUUACAGGAUUUCCUAUUUCAUUUGGACCCAAACCACAGUUUAUAAAUUCCGUGGAGAUUUUUUACUGUGAAUCCAAACAGGCCCUAAAGAGAAAAACAGUAUGUUGGAAAGUCCCUGGUGAUUCUUUUCUUUAGCCUACCCUUAUAUUGUAGAAAGAGUGGUUUAGUUUUCCAAUAUUUCCUUACCGAGAGAAGAUCAAAAGCAGCCGGCUCCAGUGCUGAGAAAAUGGCAGUCAAUCCCUGCACAAAGUUUGCAUCAUAAAAAUAUAUGACAAACAAAGAAUUGUUGUGCCAAUAACACAGUCCGCUACGACCAGCAUGUCCUAUCUAUGCCGCGUAUGUCGAUAAGAUCGUACCGCUCGUGCUGACGUGUUUAAAAUACGAUGUGUGUCGAGGCAUGUUAGCGUACCUCGCAUGCCAAUAGCAUACCAACACCCCGAAUACCAGUGGCACAAUGCCAAUAGCAUACCAACACCCCGAAUACCAGUGGCAUAACAUCCGUUAAAAUAAAUAAACAUAAAAGUUUAAAGUAACCUAAGAAGGAACCCUGCUCCAGUUAGAAAAUCCCGGUAAUGCUGACACACCAGGCCAAUUGUCUUAUGUUGGAGUGCCCAAAAUACUAUAAUUUUGCAUACAUUAAUACAAGUUAGAAUUAAACUUUCAUGACAACAAAUAAAUAAUGAAUAAAUGCACGUACCGAAACAUGCGGUCAAGAACGGCAACCUUAGUGUCCCCCUUGAAUAAAAUUCUCUUUUGGUCAUCUACCAUCAGAGCAAAAAUACAACCAAAUGACCACAUAUCAACAGUUGUACUAUAUGUGUCAAAUCCAAGCAACAUCUCAGGUGCCAUAUACGCGAGUGUGGUGACCUAGUAAUCAAAAUUACAAUAGAAAGUAAGCAAAGCACACUAGAGACAAAUAAAGAAAAGAUAAAAUGCAUCGAGGCCUCUCAAUGAUAGAUCAGAUUGAAAUCAUCUGCUCAACUUCAACUUUUGGAUUCAAACAUCAUUAACAUAUUUGAUUAUUGAAAAUUAAGUUAUGUUAAUUUUUUAAAAAUAGAGAUUUUAUCAAAUUGCUUAUCAUUUCAUCAAAUUUAAUUAUUCUAAUAUUUUUUAGUAAAUAAACCUAAACUAAUUAACUGUUAAUAACUAAUAGAGUCAAUAAAGUUGAUAAGAAAACCAACUAUAAAAGUUCAAAUUAAAAAUAAAAAUAAAAAUUAAGGGAGUCAAAUCCAAAAAAAAUGUUGGAGGGUCUAUUUUAGAAAGGCUUAUAGUUGAGGGAGCCUCCAUAUAUUUUAUAUGUAUAUUAAAAAAAAUGUUGCCUGCAUAAACAUUUCAUCCAACAAAAUCACAGUUCCACUACUUACAAAACAAGUGUAAAUUGGUUGAUUGAGAGUUGAAAAUAUUGUUUGUAACUGCGUUAAUAAUUUGACCUCCAAAUAGUAUUUCUCAUAAAACGAUAAAUUGCCACUCGAUGGAAUCAAAAUCCUAAAACAUAAAUGAGCUUAUCAUGUCUGUACUAAAAUCAAAUAUCUAUUAAAAUCACAAAAAAAGUUUCUUACACUACACAAUUGGGUACACAAUUGGGAGCACCUACAGGCUUAAUUUUUUCUUUUUUUCUUUUUUAAAGAAUUAUAUCUUCUUUUUAUUUAAUAAAAAAAGAUAAACAAGACUCAAACCCUUACUCUCAACAAACGGCCUUCGUAUGUGAAUUCCUUUCUCUUUGCAAAAUCACAAGCCAUUUAUAGGAAACCAAUCAAGAAUAUAUUCUCCACCAUUUUUCUACAAGACAAAAAUUACCUUUGUUAACUUGAUCCUCAAAGAGAUUCAUCAUUUCUUUUUGGGUGUUUGGUUCAAGCUACGCAAAAUUUCCGAUUAUUUCAAUGUAACCAAACACGCCCUUUAUGACAUUUUCCCAUUCAUCGCAUCAAUAACACAUCUAUCCCAUAGCUUACGGCAUUCCAAUCUUAUUUCUUCAAUCAACUGUGAGUAAACAUUGAUCAUAUUCGAUAUAUCUAAAUCUAUUGUGAUAGGUCUUCUCAUACAACAAAACUUUUCUACAUCUUUUGCUUAAAUGGCCAAAUUCUCCACAUGUGAAACAAUGUUCUUGCCCUUCCGCUGAAAUGGCCAAGUCUUAUUCACUUUAAAUCAUGACAUAGAUAGAGCCCCGAUUCCUUAACUCAUCUCUGCAAUCCUCUAUAUGGAAAGUGCUGGGACGAUGACAACCCCAACAUAUCCUUUGCUUGAUUAUAGCCAAUUCCUGAGAUAAGGAUUUAAAAAGUUCAAAUCGAACCCUAACCCUAAGCUAUGUAGAUGAAAACCUCUUCAGUGGACUAAUGACACUGUUUUCCUACGGCUACUCUAAGUUCCCACAAGAACAAAACCCUAAUUGAGAAUGGUCUAGCUUGAACAAUUCAUUUUUUUAGGACAUUCCUAAUCACCAACAUUAUCUAACGAUACCAUAAGUUAAUGUAAUAUGCAAAUGAAAAAUGUUUCUUAUGCUGUAGCAUAAUUAAGAAAUGUUGGUUCAUAGUUCACUAACAAAAUAGGAGAGUAAAUUGCAUUUUAUUUGUGGCAUCAGUAUCAUAUCUUGGCAAUACAGUCCCCGAGCACAUCUAAAGUCGGUUACUACGAUGCGGUCAUCUUGAUCCCAAUAAAGAAUGUUCUUUGACUUGAGAUCACGAUGUAUUACAACGUGGGAAUGGCAGUGGUGAAUUGCUGAAAAAAUCUGCUUCGAGUAAUCCUACAUUAAAAAAAAAACAAAAGAAAUAAGACCAAAAAGACAUAACAAUGUAUUAAUACAGCUAAUUUAGAUAAUUUACCUUCGUCAUUAUAGGGCAACGAUCUUCAUGCCACCGAAAGUGUGAAAUUAAAUUCAUCUUAUAUUCUUGCAAUACUAAGAAUACAUGAUUAUCUUGGCCAUAAGUGCGUUCUAACCUAUAAUUUAAAAAAUAAAACAAAAAUGUUAAUUCAUAGUGAUUAAAAAAAAUAGAAAGCCGAUGUUUUUUCAUACAUUUCUGGACAGUAGGGAAAAUUUUGGUCUAGACUGAAAGGGGAAUAAAAAAUUUUAAAAAUAUCAAAGUAAAUGCAAAAUUAUAACAAAAAUCCUUAAUAGGUUAAGAUAAUGGAUUUACAACAUUUUUCUGGGAUAUUUUAUCAAAAAUUUCUUUUAAGAUAUAGUCUCCGAAAUUUAUUAUCACAAUCAACUAUAAGAAGGACCUGAAUUUAGUAAUAAUUAUACUUAAUAUGUAAGAAAUAUACCUAACAUUAUUAUCAUAUUUAAGUUCGGUGAGUAUGUAAGAUUCCCUGAUUCCCUGAUGGCAUUGAUUGAAAGAUCAUCAGUAAAUGGUAUCCUUUUCAAAACAACUUGUUUGUUGCUUUGUUUGUCCUUCGCUAGGAAAAUUUCACCGUAACCUCCUGAAUCAAGUUUCUUAAUAGUCUCAUACCGAUCCAUCUACAGAUUGGACAAGUGACUGUUUAAAAAUAAUAAACACUUUAAUAGAGUAAUACUAAUCACGGUAAAAUUCACAAAUAUAAUUAUUACGAUAAUCACAUUAGUAUGAAUAAAAACAAUAAUAAAUUAUUAAACAAUAAUGACGGUUUAAGAACAGUGAAAGCAGUUUUAGAGUUUGUGACAAAUACGACACGUUUGGCCCAGAUUCUGGAAAAGUAAUUUCUGCAGAAUUGAUUUUGGUUAAAAGCUGUAAAGCGUUUGACUGAGUUUUGAUAAAAGUGAUUUUUCUAAAGCAAUUUUGUAAAUAUGUUCGGCAAUUUUUUUUUUUAUGUUUACAUAAAUUAAUAUUUUUAUUAUAUUUUAUUUUAAAAUAAUUUUAAAUUUAAAUUUAAAUUUGAAUUAAAAUAAAAUUUUUAAAAUUUUAAAAUUGUACAAAAUUUAAAAUUUGAUAUUUUAAUUUAAAAAAUAAAUUUUUGAUUAUUAGAGUUGCCGAUCACUAGAUUGUGAGUAAAAUUACAUUACAAAUAUAAAAAAUUAAGAUAAGAUUUAUAAGAACUCCUAAAAUGAUAGAAUCUUUUCUUUGAUUAGUGAAAAGGAAUCAAACAAUGCAAUAAACAGUGAGAAACCAAAACUAUUGCGAAGUACAUUACAAACAUAAAAAAUUAAAUUACAAAUAUAAAAAAUUAAGAUAAGAUUUAUAAAAACUCCUAAAAUGAUACUUUAGAACUUAAAUAACAAACAAAACCAAACGAUUUUGACUAAUUUGAGAAUAAUAAAAUAAAACGAGACAUAAUAGCCUCUUUGAUUGGUGAAAAAGAAUUAAACAACACAAUAAGCAGCGAGAAACCAAAACUACUAUCGCAGAGUACAUUACAAGAAAAAACAUAAAAUUUUUCAUCAUCCGAGUUGCCGAUCACCAGAUUGUGAGUAAAAUUAUAUUACAAACAUAAAAAAUUAAGAUAAGAUUCAUAAGAACUCCUAAAAUGAUGCUUUAGAACUUAAAUAACAAACAAAACUAAGUGAUUCUGACUAGUUUGAGAAUAAUAAACUAAAACGAAACAGAAUGGUCUCUUUGGUUGGUGACAAAGAAUCGAACAAUGCAAGAAGCAACGAGAAACCAAAACUACUGCGGAGUACAUUGCAAGUAAACAUAAAUUUCUUGAUCAUCAGAGUUGCCGAUCACCAGAUUGUGAUAAAAUUACAUUACAAACAUAAAAAAUUAAGAUAAGAUUUAUAAGAACUCCUAAAAUGAUACUUUAGAACUUAAAUAACAAACAAAACCAAACAAUUCUGACUAAUUUGAGAAUAAUAAAAUAAAACAAGACAUAAUAGUCUCUUUGGUUGGUGAAAGAGAAUCGAACAACGCAAGAAACAGCGAGAAACCAAAACUACUAUCGCGGAGUACAUUACAAGAAAAUAUAAAAUUUUUCAUCAUCCGAGUUGCCGAUCACCAGAUUGUGAGUAAAAUUACAUUACAAAUAUAAAAAAUUAAGAUAAGAUUCAUAAGAACUCAUAACAUGAUACUUUAGAACUUAAAUAACAAAUAAAACCAAGUGAUUCUGACUAGUUUGAGAAUAAUAAACUAAAACAAAACAGAAUGGUCUCUUUGGUUGGUGACAAAGAAUCGAACAACGCAAGAAGCAGUGAGAAACCAAAACUACUGCGGAGUACAUUACAAGAAAACAUAAAUUUCUUGAUCAUCAGAGUUGCCAAUCACCAGAUUGUGAGUAAAAUUACAUUACAAACAUAAAAAAUAAGAUAAAAUUCAUAAGAACUCCUAAAAUGAUACUUUAGAACUUAAAUAACAAACAAAACCACUUGAUUCUGACUAGUUUGUGAAUUAUAAACUAAAACGAGACAGAAUAGCCUCUUUGGCGCGUAGAAAAUCCGCUGCAGUGGAGGUGGAGGGAGAAGGCGGAGGAAGAUGACGCGUUAUCAUCCUCGUUAUCAUCGCGGAGGGCCAUGGAGGCAGUGGAGGAUGGUCGGAGAGAAAAAAAAAAAAGAGGAUCGCAGCGCGGCCUCGGCGGAGUCGGAGGCGAGUAGGGCAAGGGGUGCGCGAGCGAGGGUGAGGGCGUGAGCGGCAGAGACAAUAGGGGUCGUUUCCGCCUUCGCCUUCGUCGCCUUCUUUGGCGAGAAAAAAAAAACACAAAAAAACAUAAGGAGAGAGAAAAAGAUAUAUGGGUAUUUUGGUCAGUUUACUAAAAAUUCUGACCGAAUUUGCAAAAUCGAAAAAGACUGUCCAGUUUUGCAAAAACUUAAAACUUAUGGAUUUUUAUGCAAAUUAGCCAUAACUUUUCUAUUUUCUUACUAUUUCUAAUAAUUGUUCUGCUCCACUACCCCUAAAUAGUUUUUCGUGAAAAAUGGAAAAAAUUCUUCUAUUUCCUUCUUUAUCUCUAAACAAUUUUCUGUACUAAAGGGUAAAAAAUUCUUUUAUUUACUUCACUAUCCCUAAACAAUUCUCCGUGAAGAAGGGUAAAAUAUUCUUCUAUUUCCUUCACUAUUCCUAAUAGUUCUCUGUAAGGAAUGGUAAGAAGUUCUUCUAUUUACUUCACUAUCUCUAAACAGUCCUCCGUGAAAAAAGAUAGAGAAUUCUUCUAUUUCUUUCACUAUUCCUAAACAGUAAUCCGUCAAUUAGAGCGUUUGGCUGAGGGUCCGUUUGUUAUGUUAAACCUUCACUUCACCUACUCUCGACUUUCUACUCUAAAAUGUUGAAGUCGAUUUCCGCCACACUCAAUCUCCUCUAAAAAAUUUAUUAAAUAGUAAAACCUAAACUCUACUUCCUUUAUAAUGAGUUAGAAUUACUUUAUUUAUAAUAAAUUAGGAUUACCUUAAAAUAAUAAUAAAAAAUUUAAUUAUAUAAUAGGUUAAAUUUUAUAACGGUAAAUUUAUUACCAUAUUUAGGAGAUAACGAGAUCCACUUACUUACAUCAAAAUAAACAGAAAAAAUAAUUGAAUUUAACUUUCAGACUGUACGAGUUACGUCAAAACAAAGAACAAAAAAAUAAUCACACUUCAAGAAAACUCAAAUACCAUUGCAUUUGACCUACGUUGGAUCUACAUAUUCGUCAAUCCAAACGCCCCUUGAGUUUAGGUAAAAGUAAUUUUUCUGAAGUGAUUUUGUAAAUCUGUUUGGUAAAAAAAUUUAGAUGCUUGCAUAUAUUAAUAUUUUUACUAAAUUUUAUUUUAAUAUAAUUUAAAAUUUAAAUUUAAAUUUAAAUUUUAAAAUUGAAUUUAAAUUUAAAAGUUAAAUUAAAAAUUUAAAUUUGAAUUAAAAGUAUAAUUUUUAAAUUUCAAAUUUGUACAAAAAAUAAAUUUGAAAUUUCAAAAUUUUAAAUUUUGAAUUUAAAAUUUAAAAUCUAAAUUUAAAUUUUUAAAUUUAAAAUUUAAAAUUUAAAAUUUGAAUUUUGAAAUUUAAAAGUAAAAUUAAAUCUUAAUUUUGAAUUCAAAAAUUAAAGUUAAAAAUUUUGGAUUUUGAAAUUUAAAAUUAAAAUUUAAAAUUUAAAUUUUAUAAUUUGAAAAUUAAAACUUGUAAAUUUAAAUUUUAAAUUUUAAAUUUUAAAUUUUAAAUUUUAAAAUUUUAAUAUUUUAAAUUUAAGUUUUAAAAUCUGAAAUAUCAAAAUUUAAAUUUUAUCUUAAAUUUAAAAUUAAAAUUUAAAAUUUAAAACUUUAAAAUUUGAUGUUUGAAACUUAUAUUUAAAAUUUAAAAUCUAAAUUUUAAGUUUGAAAUGUUGAGAUUUAAAAAUCAAAAUAUGAAUUUAAAAUUUUAAAAUUUAAAUUUAAUGUUAAAUUUAUAUUUUAAAUUUAAAAUAAAAAUAAAAAUUUAAAGUUUUGGAAGAGCAGCUUUUUUCUAUUUUUGAUUCUGCAGGCUUCAAAAUUAAUUUUAUGAUUCUAAAAAAGAAUUCCAAAUUUUUUAUCGAUCUUUCUCAUUUACUGAGUACUGAGUUUAAAAGUAAUUUUGGAUUCAAAAUUAUUUCUAAGAAACUAGGCCAAACACCCCAAUAUGGGCAAAGAAAUGUAGUUUUUCCUUUUAUAUCCCUAGCUAAUCGCUCAGAUCAGAUCAAGCCUCGCUCCGACCUUCGUUGUCUUUCUCCUGUCUCUUCUUCUUUUUCCUCCUAUUGUCUCAGAUCCCUCGAUUCCCUUACUCCGAUCUCUUCCUUCGCUCCGGCGAGGGGUCUCCUACGCCGAUCCCUCCCCGUUCUCAAUCGCAAGCGCACGAGAUCCGGCGCGAGAUCCCACGCUGGAUUUAGCCAUGAAUCCCUUCUCCUCGGGAACUCGGUUAAGGUAAGCUCUCCAUCAUUUCCUACCUCUUCGAUCGAUUCGCGCGCUUCUCGAUCUCGAUCGUGCGAAUUCGUGCUCUCCUUGGAAAUCGUUCGAUUCAGCUUAAUUAGAUCUGUUUGAGAUCACAGCUUAAGGAUUCGAUGUGUCGCGUUCGAGCUAGUUGAUUCUUGGGAGUUAGAACCUUAGCAGAUCUCUGUUCUCAUUGUGUCGUGAUGAGUUCGUUUUCAGGUUUUCUUGAAUAUAAGUCAGAACAUAAAGUUAUGCUGUUUUCUUUGAUUGGGGAGUCCGUUCAAGAAUGUCUGCGAUCCACGAUUGGGAGGGAAAUUUAGGAAAUUUUUUGAGCCGGUUCAAUUGAAUCGAAUGCAAACAUGUUCUUUUAUUCACAUUUGUUCUAUCAAAAGUAAGGUUGCCCCCCUCUCUUUUUCCUUGGUUCUAGAUUUUAAGUGUGUCUUAUUGAAUUCUUUUAUUUCUUGAUGCAUAUGCAAGAAUUAUAAAAUUUGUUGUUGUGGUACGCUAGAUGCAGGUCCAGCAAAACUGCAAUUGCCUUGGUUCUGAAUUUGAAGCAUUUCUAUAGAUUGUUCCCUGACCCAUAACUGUUAUUUACUUUAAUCCUUGAGUUUCUUGAGGAUAAACACUGAAGGAACCAAAAAUGUUCGUAACAUUAGAAUAGUCAACACAGUCUACAGUGAAUUAUAUAGCUGUUUGUUAGAGAAGGCAAGCAUAGUAGAAAAUGAAGGAGAGAAAAUAUGAGAAGGAAAGUGAUUUUCUUUGUCUUGGUUGGAUAUUUAUAGAAGAAAAGAAGAAGAGAAUAGCCGUCCUCUAUGUUGUUUAAAAGGACAUGGCAGAAAGUAAAUCAAAUACUACUGUACCCUUAUUUGGAUGUUCUUGCUUUCGAAACUGUUGCAUUCACAUUCCUUUGUUAUAUUUGGUGUCCUAACAUCAAAAAUGACCGCUGCUUAGUUGGUUCUUAUUUAAAUGGAGUCUAAUUGUUGUUCAAAUGGAAAUUGUUGUUAUAUAAAUAUUGGGAACCAUUGGUAUAAUGACCUCCUAGGAUGUUUAACUAGCCUGAUAUCAAUAUCAAGACUUGUUAAAUGUGAAUCCCACGUUUUGAGACAUGUCCCUUUUGUUGACUAUCUUACUAUUGAUUUGCAUCCUUCCAGAAGAUUUCUUUCAUGUUCUUCUUGGUUGAUUUGGCACGAGCUUUGUAUUUGAACUCUCUGAUCUUUCUUCUUGUUGGAAUUUUUAUGCUUUAUAGAAUACAUUUCAACCAUUUCCACCUUUUUAAAACUGAAGCAACUGACACACAUCUUCUAAUAUUCUAGUGUGCUUACUUCCUACCGUAUACAUGUUUAUGUGAGCACACGUCCAUUCUCUUAAUGUGAUCACCAUUAUGCAAGCAUGUUUCUGUAUACGUAUCUGUGUAUAUCAGAAGUUUGUGAACAAUAUGAAGUAUUUCUUUUCAUUAUUGGAUUGUAAUGGUUUCAAUCUUUCAGUAGAAAUACUUUCCUUGUUAUUUUUCCAGUUGUAUGUUGAGUCAUUUAUAGUUGUAUUUAGCUUGAGAAUAUAACUGCAUGAUACUUUGAUCAAUUUUUCUUCUUUGUCCAGUUCCUGUGUAGAGCCAGAUGAGCAAACUUGAAUUCUUAAACUUAAAUUGUCAAUAUCUUCAGUUUUUUAAGAGUCUAACCCUUAAAACUGCAGGGAUAUGAUUCGAGCUAUACGUGCAUGCAAAACUGCUGCAGAAGAGCGUGCGGUUGUAAGAAAAGAAUGUGCUGCUAUACGUGCCGCAAUUAGUGAAAAUGAUCAAGAUUAUAGGCAUCGUAAUCUUGCAAAACUCAUGUUUAUUCACAUGCUUGGCUAUCCCACUCAUUUUGGUCAAAUGGAAUGCCUUAAGUUAAUAGCUUCUGCUGGGUUUCCUGAAAAAAGAAUUGGCUAUCUGGGCCUCAUGCUGCUUCUUGAUGAAAGACAAGAAGUUCUUAUGCUGGUUACAAAUUCCCUGAAACAGUAUCCACUACAUUUGUAGUUUACUGCCUAGCUUUACAUCUACUUCACUAGAACUGUAGGAUAUUUUACACUGAUUCCUAUUAAUUGAUUUUGUACAUUGCAAAAGUCAUCUUUCUAUCUAUUUAGAAUCCUUGACAUGUGCAGAGAUCUAAAUCACUCAAACCAGUAUAUUGUGGGUCUUGCUCUUUGUGCUCUUGGAAAUAUAUGUUCUGCUGAGAUGGCACGGGAUCUCGCUCCGGAAGUAGAGAGACUACUGCAUGGGAGAGACCCAAAUAUUAAGAAAAAGGUACUUACUUUCCCUCUCUAUAUCUAUUUGUGGAUCAUAUUUAGAUGAUUUAUGUCUUUUAAUCAGAGCAUUCAAGUUUAAAUUCAGUAAGUACUAAAUUCAUUACAGUCCCUAUACUGUAGGAGAGUAAUUCCCUCAGUUUAUAAAUAGUACUUCAUACAGAGAACAAUAUUAACUUCUCUUUAAUUUGUCCUAGAUUCUUAGUUUUGGUUAAAUGUCUCUUUACUAUCGAGUACAUUAUUAUUAUUAUUUUAAUUUGUAUUUAAAACUACAAAGAUCAUCAGCUCAGCGUCAUGCUGAUUAAUUGAAUAUUUAUUCAUGCAUUUUCCUUGUUGCUUGGAUGCACCUCUUUGAUGAGUUUUUCUUUUGUGUUGUUCCUCAGAGUCAGGUACUUUUUAAAUUUGAUCACCAGCUAUUUCAUUUGAAUUCAGUAAAAUUUUGGGCCUCUUUUGUACUUUCUAGGAUACAACCUUAUGUGGUUAGAAUCUUUUGAGUUAUGGGAUAAGCAUAAAGAAUAAGGAAUCUAACAAAUGGCAUAAAAAAAAUUGGACCUUGGUUUUGUACCUGGGCUGUAAGAUCUGACCAUGUAAGCACAGAUUUCCGAAAUUAACUAGGGAAAUAAGACUGGGUUUACUCAUUUCUAUCUAAAUGUUAUAAUAGUUGUUUUAUUGUCUGGAAAAGAAAUAGUAUUGCUUUACUAUUUCCUGAGAGAUCAUUCUAUAAGUUGUGACUCUCUAAUAUGUCCUAGCAUAUUUUAACUAUUGUAUAUUCCUUUUCAAUAAAUGUGUUAAGUUUCUAUGAAAUAUGUAGCUAAUGUUGGAACUGUUGGAAGCUGGUUAAAGACGGGGCGGGACGUGGUGGUAAAUAUGCUUUUGGAGCUUCACAAAGUCAUUGCCAACAUAUUAUGAUGAUGGGUGAAAAUUUACCAUGAACUCAUCAUGCCAAUCUUAUAAUGUAUGAGUGCGAAGCAAUUGCUUCCUUUUGAUUGCGGUGAUUAAUCAUAGGGCGGUGUUAAUCUCUGCAAGUUGCACUCCCUAUCUUGAUAUAGUACUUUAAAAAGUAAUUUUCGUGGAUGGGGGAUGUAGUUAGUUUCUCUCUCGAUGAAUUCCUAUUUGUGAGAAUAGUUUGCAUUUUCCUUGAUGAGUAGCUAAUCUAAAUGGCUUUUAUUAUCCAUUGAUUAAAAGUUGCUUCUUGCUUCCUAGGCUGCUUUGUGCUCUAUAAGGAUCAUAAGAAAAGUUCCUGACUUGGCAGAGAACUUUAUGGGACCUGCUGCUUCGCUGCUGAAGGAAAAGCAUCAUGGAGUUCUCAUAGCUGGAGUUCAGCUCUGUACAGAUCUAUGUAAAGCCAACACAGAUGCCUUGGAAUAUUUGAGAAAGGUAUCAUGCACAUUAUGAGCAGUAUUUGGGUUUUGUGUUAAGGUCUUUUGGAUAAUGCAAAUGCUUAACAAAAAUUUCUUCCCAUGAUACACUUUUACGGAUAUUUCUAUUUUGCAGCAUAUUCUUCCCAUGGUUGACAUUUACUGAUAUUUCUAUUUGGCCAGCAUACAUUGUUUAAACACUAAUUUUUUUUUUCUAAAGAAAAUAAAAUCAGUUUCAAUGAGGGCUGACCUUGAUGCAUGGAUACCACUUUUCGAUUGCAACCUAGUUGUCAUGAUUCUGAAUCCUGGAAACAGCCUCACCACAUAGUGGCGCAGGCCUGCACAAAAGUUGUCCCUCUGGCUUCAUAGAAGCUAGAGCCUUGUGCAUUGCAUUGUGCCCUUUUUUCAACCAAAAUCAGAAAUAUAUUUGAGCUCACUGCUUUAUUACAACGAAACCGCAUUUGUGAGCCUAUCCAUAUUGGCUUGUUUUUUAUUUUGGAGAAUCCAUAGAAGAAAAGGAUCAACAUGGUUUGUUUGGCUUAUCUAAUUUUAUGCCUAAGCUUCUUUUCAAAUUGUUCAAGGGAGCUUGCUGUUUCUCUUGUUCAAGUAAUUGUUUGUCCAUUUGGAACAAUCUUGAGUAUGGAUUGUCCCUUUGAAAAUGUGAACUGCCAACAUUUUCUCAAGUUCAUUUCUUUUUCUAUUCUAAUAUCCAUAACUAAAGUGAUCAUGUAACUAGUGUCAAGUGUAAUACUUAAAGCCGUUUUCUUUGGCUCGGUGUAGAGUUGAGUAUACAGCAAACUUAGACAUUUUAAAAUAUGGUAUUCCUGGAAUCUUAUGGAAGUGGCUGGAUUGGACCCAUCAAACCUGAUAUUGUUGUGCAUAAUAAACUUGUGGAAAACCUUUAAAGAAGAUUAAUAGAAACAAUUAUUGAAUGCAUGAAGCUAGCUUGCUUUGAGUAACUUUGAAAUCUGGAAUGGCGUGGCUAAGAAAAACAUUAAGAAGAACACAAUGAGCAUUUUGUGCUAUAGCUAGUAAUGCCAAAGGUAUCGUGAUAGCAGAUGUUCUUUUGGGGAGUAUAUGUAGAAGAGCAGUUUGUAUAUGCUAUUGUUUUUUUUUUAUCUUUGUGUCGGAGUACCAGUUUGCUUGCCUCUUUCUUUUGAGAUGGAAAUAUCAUGCUUCAUGAAGACAGAUAUUUCAUCAAAACAGAUUAUAUACGUUAUAACAAGUUAUUAUCUGUCGCUGUCCUGUUGUCUAUAUCUCUUCAUCAAAUCCAUUAUCCUGUAGAAUAUUUCUGCCAACUUUCUAAGUGUUUACUGUUUGUGGUUCUGGCCUCUUCUGAUGUAAGCCAUGUAUAUCUUUGUUGGAAACUAGAGAUCGUAGUAGGUACUUUUCUUAACUUUGUUUUAGAUUUCGGUGGAUACAUUUUCUUACGUAAACUGUAUUUGUUGCUUAAUGUUUUUUUUUUUCAGUUGGUUUUCUUGACACACUCCUUUUUGAUUGUAGAACUGCACAGAAGGAUUGGUUCGUAUCUUGAAAGAUGUUUCAAAUAGUCCGUAUGCUCCUGAGUAUGACAUUGCUGGUAUCACAGACCCUUUCUUGCACAUCCGAGUGCUUAGGCUGAUGCGCAUGUUGGGCCAAGAGGAUGCAGACUCUAGUGAAUAUAUGAAUGACAUUCUUGCACAGGUGAGGAAUCAGGAUCCUCUUUCUAUUUCCUCCAAGUAUAUAAUGUUAUGUGUACUUACGUAAAUACUGAUCCUCCAAAUGUUUUAGUUAAUGUCCUGGUUCAAGGUUCUAACAUAGAUUUCCCUUUUCUUUUUCUUAUUGAAGUUUAGAUGGUGAUUUAGUGAUUUUCUGUUGAAUCCUUAUGUACUUGAAAAAGUUUUACUGUGCCUUUUGUCUUCUAAAUUGUCCGUAUCAAAGCUAUCUAUCUUGUUUUCUGCCAUGUAGUUUCUAUAGCUAGUUGGAUUACUAAACUUGCAUCAUUUAGAAGUUGAUACAUACAUGUUGGUUGUAAAAUUUGCAAAUUUUACUGUUUUGUUUUUGGCUUUUCCACUUUGUUUGCUUGCCAUUUUUAGGUUAUUCAUAUGGCCCGAGUCAUAGCUUCAGUAAGAUGUGUCUAGAAGUUUUAGCUUGGUUUUAAAUAUCUUCCAAUUGAUAUGUCCUAUAUCUGCAGUUAUAUUUUGUAACUAUUUAUUUCCUUUCCUAGGUUGCGACGAAAACUGAGUCAAACAAAAAUGUUGGGAAUGCUAUUCUUUAUGAGUGUGUUGAGACUAUAAUGGGGAUAGAAGCUACCAGUGGCCUACGUGUUCUAGCUAUCAAUAUUUUGGGAAGAUUCCUGUCAAAUCGUGAUAACAAUAUCAGGUAAAUACUCUUUUUAUAUUUGUGGUUUAUUUAUGCAUUUGUGAAAUUUGUACUUUGGGAAGCGUGGGCCCAUGUUCUACAUCUUCUGCAUUUAUGAAUUUGUUGAAAGUGAUAUAUGUAAUCGACCCCAAUUAGUGAACUAACAUUUGACAAUUGCUAUUUGACUAAUUUACAUAAUUACUGAAUGCUGUUGAUAAUUAAAAUGCUAAUACAUAGUGUGGAUUUGGUCCAUGCUUCUGUGUGAGGGGUUGGGAAAAACAAAGCUUCAAACUAAUUAGCUUAUGAAGUAUUAGGGUAUUCUCCUUUGGACGUAAUUGAUUGGGAUAAAUGAAAUACACUUGUUAGACCUACCAAUUGGUUGGAUUGGUUGCUUUCGUCCAUUUGAGUAUUCGCAUAAUUUGAUUAAGUGAAGAUUACACGUCUAGUUUGUACACGUUAAAAGUUUUAUCUAGUUGAUAACAGAUUCUUUGUUGGGAAAGUUCCAGUUUCUUUUUCUCUUGAAUGUUAGUUCACUUAUUUGUUUAAUAAUCUAUUCUUCUUUUGUUUUCCCCUUCCAGAUAUGUUGCACUGAACAUGCUCAUGAAGGCCAUUACAGUAGAUGCUCAAGCGGUGCAGAGGCACAGGACAACGAUAUUAGAAUGUGUCAAGGUAAUACAGCUUCACCCUUUAGAUUUUAAGAAAGAAAGGACUAAUUCUUUUCUUUAUUGAGAAGAGCAACAGUACUUUCGUUCUCUUAUUGCAGAAUGAUAUGGUGUAGAACUGAAAAUUCAUGUUGUGGCUUGCUUUGUACAUAAUUAUUACUAUUUUGAUUAAAUAGAAACUAUCUUUUUUUUCCCCUCCCUUUCGGUCUUCUAUGACAAUCUGAAGUCUGUUUCUUUUAUCUUUUACAAUGUGCAGGAAAUUGUGUUGAAAUAUGAAUCACUUCCAAGAUCUAUUGAAACAUCUUUGUUUUAUUGUUAAAUUCUUUAUUUAGUUUUCCGAUGUUACACUUGCUGGACAUAAAAAAUAAAGUUGUUCUGCUGGAUAGUUCGAUCACUUAAUAGAAGUUAAACUAAAGUAGUAUUCGUCUUAGUGAGAUCAUAUAUAUUAGUUACUUUAUUCUAAUGGUACAAAUGGAACACAGACUUUGCAGUCAGUUCUGUGUCAUGCUUGUGCAAACUCUCUAUUAUUCAUGUGAUUGAUUGUGUGCUUCAAGUUGCCUCGAAUUCUAUUUUCCAUCUUUAACUAGAUUUUGGUAUAGUUCACUAAAGGGUUCAUAGUUAGCUGUCUAAAGGUGUCUAUUAUCUCUGCUACUUGUAGUCAAAAGGAUGUAAAAUUUGACUUGCAACUUUCAGGAUUCUGAUGCCUCAAUACGGAAAAGGGCUCUGGAGCUUGUUUUCCUGUUAGUCAAUGACGGCAACGUGAAGCCUUUGGCUAAAGAACUUAUUGACUAUCUAGAAGUAAGUGAUCAAGAAUUCAAGGGGGAUUUAACUGCCAAAAUUUGUUCAAUUGUUGAAAAGUAAGUUCUUUCAACUUUUUGUUAAGUUUCAUAAGAUAUAAUUUUCAACAUUUUAAUGCUUAUAAUAUCCACAUUUCCUGCCUUUUAAAACUUUAUUCAAUUAGUUCUGCUAGUCGACUUGUUAAUAUAGUAGCAUCUUUCUUACACCCACCAGAAACCCACCAGAAAUAGAAUUCACUGAAUGCUGACAAAUCCUUUGCCACUCAAGUUUAUGGCAUCUGCCUCAUUUAGGCCCCUUCUUCCCUUCAAUAAUCCAAAAUUGAAUCUGCCUGCCUGGCACUGUAUGGUAUAGGUAUGGUGUGUAGACCAGCAACCCUUGGAUUUUAGGUGGUUAGCUAUUGAAGUGAAAAAAAGGCUGGAUGUGAAAAUUGUUAUGCAUUAAAUUAUAAAAAAACUUCUUAGCUCAAAAAUGAAUCUUUGUGAACAGUGUGGAUAUCAUUUGAGCAUGUUUCCCAUCUCUUCUUGAGAAACAGGUGGGGGUAUUUCCUUGCAAAAUUUUAUUUCACUUUUUCUAGCUUAUCUCCUGGUUUGAAAUUGAAUUUAAUUUCUUUCCAUACUUAACAAACAACAGCUAGUUCAGGGCUCCAUUUGCUAGCUUCAACGAUAAUUUCAGCGCCUUCACGAGCAAAGAAUGGCUUUCUUAUUCCCACCUGGGACUUGUUUGGCUAAUGAAUGCUUCUACCCUUAGUUUGACCCUAUGGAAGAUUUACAUUGUAGUGAUUGGGGUCUUCCUUCUUGAUUUUUGUAUGGUAUAACUAUAUGUGGCAUAAUAUAGUAACCUCCUCAUGAGAAGUGUAUGAAAUUUGGGUUAUUAAAUGCCCUUUCAAGACCAAACCGCGAAGUUAAGCAGCAGCAAAUGCAUGUUUGAUGCACGGUGUGUCUUUGUGUACGUAUCUCGCUUCAAACCUUAAUUUAACCAACAAGACUGGAAUUGCAUACGCUAGCUUAGACAGGGGUUAGCAAGGACUGAUAUGCUGGUUGGCAUAGCGAGCACGUGCUAACUGGGCUUACUGUCUGGGCCGCUUGCUGAUGAGUGCUGGCACUUAAAUGGGCUCUGUACAUGGUCUGUACUGACCGUGCUCAGAGUUAGUACUGUGCAUAUAGUGGCAUGUAUUGUGAGGCAUGCUGCAGUAAGUGAAACAUGAUUGCUAGGGCUUGGGGGAAAAAAUAGUUCUUCGGUUGCUGUAGUGUCAUUUUUUCUCCUGUUUGUUUAAGAAGUGAUUGAUAGCAAGUUAUGAAAGAAAUGAGACUGCAGCUAAAUGUUCUUUUGAGACGAUAAUCUACUGCAGGGUUAUUUUUGCUCUUCAACUUAUAGUUGAUAAAAAAUAAAGGUGGUCUUGUUUAGUUAUAUUUUUACUCUCAAAUUGGAGGGAAAUCAUUAUCUUUGACUAAGUAGUUAUUCUUAUUAUAUAUGAGUAUGAAAGUUGAGACCUGAAUGAUUACUAUCUAAAUCCUCUCUUUAACACACUUAUGUAGCUAAUGAUUUUGCUACUUCCGUUAUGUAGGUUUUCUCAGGAGAAGCUGUGGUACAUUGAUCAAAUGUUCAAGGUCUUAUCUCUGGUAGGUGAGGAAGUAGUUUCAUGAUUAUUCUGAAAUUCACGAAACAAAAAUAUAAACUUUUUUGUUUUUGGUAUCUUGCUGAAUUACACAUUCCUAUCUAAUUUUAAAAUUUCUUAUGGUUCUACCUGCAUUAUAUGUUUCAACUGCAAUCACUUGCAUCUUUUUUUCCAGUAAGUGUCUGGUAUUAACAUUCCAUCUAUUUUGUGGUCGUAGUUUAGGAUGACAUAUGGCGACUGGUCCUCAGCUAUUCAUUGUAUUCUCUGCAAGUUGCAUAAUCCUUGUAACAACUGCGACACAUUACUCCUUACCUUCAGUGAUUUAGUAACUUAUUACUGGUGCAAAUCACAUGCUAAAUUUCUUAGAACACCAUUGAUAAAGACAUAAAUAAUGUUACUAUUUUUUCAAGUAUGCAUAUUUUUGGCAAUUAUCAUCUUAUUUUAUAUUGGUUAUUUGUCUAAAGAAUGUUUAUUUACUGUGAAAAAGUGAGAUCAGGCUAAUAUAAGGAAAACGUGAGAUCAUGCUAAUAUAGUUCUUCCUUUUUUUAUGGGGACAAUAUCAGCAUCAUCUUUUUAUAAUUAUUUUUUACAGGCUGGGAAUUACGUAAAAGAUGAUGUGUGGCAUGCCCUUAUAGUUGUGAUAAGCAAUGCACCCGAUCUUCAAGGUUACUCUGUUAGGUCCUUGUAUAGGGCAUUGCAAACAUCAUACGAGCAGGUAUCUUGAAUUAUGCAUUGCUAUUCUUAAAGGUGUGCAUUCUUGGUAUUCACUUUGCUUCAUGCUUUCCCAAUUUUUGUUGCUUAGGAAAGUUUAGUACGAGUUGCUGUGUGGUGCAUCGGGGAGUAUGGCGAGAUGCUGGUCAAUAAUGUUGGAGUUCUUGAAGUGGAGGAACCUAUGACAGUGAGUCAAUUGUUAUUCUACUCCUAAUAAUUCUAGCAUUAUCUAGCAUACUCUAAAUGAAUGGACUUAUUCUGAUGAUAGACCCUGAUUUCUUAAUUUAGCAAUGUCAUAGAAAAAUAUUCUGGAAGUAGAAUUUAUGUUUUCCUUUGAUAAUCAGACUCUAAAUUCAUGUAUCCCAUACAUAAGAUGGUUCCUUAAAUUAAUUUUCAAUGUGUCAUAAAGGAAGGCACUCUCUGUAAUUCCCAUAUAGGUUGUGCUACUUUGUGCCUAUGGCACAUGGGCUAGUCUUAUCCAACUGCUCAUCUCAUAUCCCCUUUAAAGUCUAUUAACUAUCAAGGAAUAUGCAGUGCUAACAUGCAGAGUUCAUUGUUUGGUGUUAACUGAAUGAAGCUUAUCAACUUUGGAAAUAUGCUUAGAGGACGCACUCUUUUAGGGUAAAUUAUUCAGGAUAUUCUUGUUAAAGGGCGUGAACAACACAGUUUUCUUAUCCAGGUAACAGAAUCUGAUGCUGUGGAUGCCGUAGAGGUUGCCUUAAAACGUCAUUCUUCAGACAUGACUACUCGAGCUAUGUCUCUGAUUGCUCUUUUGAAGCUCUCUUCACGAUUUACACCCACCUCAGAGUAAGUUUUUUUGACAACCGGAUAUACCAAUUGCUUUCUUCUCAUCCUUUAUAUGUUUGCAACUUUGCAUGAUGUCAUUUGCCUGAUUUCCUUCUUGUUUUGCACACUUUCUGAAGUUUUGAUGUCUGUUGCCUUUGUAUUCUAGGUCCAUUGACUUACUUUGUAUAGCUGUAGUAUGACUAGUUUAACAUGAUAUACUUUGUGUUUGUUAUGUAAAUAUGCAUUUUUUGUAUGGUUAACCUUUUGAACCUUUGACUUUUGUCACAUUCUCUGAACUUGAAACCUGAAAGACUAUUAGCCUUUUUCUUGCCAAUUGGGUUUAAUCCUUUGCCUGCUGAUAGCGGCGUCGUCUUUUAUUACUCUAGAUUUCAUCUCCGGUACUCAAAAGGAGAUUUUACCUUUUUCUUCCACUAGCUUAAUUUCUGGACUUUGAUACUUCUGCAUUUGUUUCUGCAAUGUCAUAAGAUUGCAAUUCUUUUACAUUGUUUGAUUUGUCAGGAGGAUAAAAGAAAUAGUUACACAGCAUAAAGGGAGUGUCGCACUAGAAUUGCAGCAAAGAUCAAUUGAAUUCAACUCUAUUAUCCAGAGGCACCAAAAUAUCAAGUGGGUAACUGAUCUUUUGGUCGUCAACAAUAUAGCGAGACAUCCAUUAAAAAUUCUUGUGGUUGAAUCCAUGCAUUUAUUGUUAGGCUGCUGGUGCAUGUGCAGAUCUUCUUUGGUGGAACGAAUGCCUGUCUUGGAUGAGGCAGCUUAUUUAGGAAAGAGAGCAGGUUCUUCUCAACCAACGCUUUCAGCUGAAAAAUCUAGCAAACCGACCACUUCUGCUGCAUCACUUAAGCUUCCAAAUGGCGUAGCUAAGCCACCAGCUGCUCCUCUUGUGGAUUUGCUUGAUUUAAGUUCUGAUGAUGCACCAGUUCUGCCUUCAGCCCCUAAUGAUUUUCUAAAUGAUCUAUUGGGAAUUGGCCUACCAAAUUCAUCAUCAUCAGGUUUUAUUCUGCCUUAUUCAGUAUUUUUUUUUCCUUUUAUUUGUGGACAUUCUUAUGCAUGUAUAAGAAUGAGAUAAUGACAAUUAGGAUGCUUGAUGCCAAUUAUUCCAAGAUACUUCUUGUAUGAGUUAGAGCGUAAUCUCCGUUUUAACUACACUUAGUGAUUAACUAACAGUUAUAUGAUGACUCUAGUAGUCUACUUUUUGCCUAAGUUUGAGCAUAAUUUUUGGUGAGUUUUUCAGUUUAAUCUGUUUCAUCAGACUUAACAAUGCAAUGACUUAAACUCCAUUCUUGUUAAGUUGAAGAAUGCCAUCCUUUUCUUGUAAAGUAACAUUGUCGUGUUUGAAUGGUAGUUUAAGUAUUAAUUUCGUUAUAAUGUUCUGUUUCUAGUUUUUAAAUCUUCACAUGCCCUAUGAAAUUUACUGCAGUUUUAAUGUCCUUAGUAAUAUGUUAUUGUGUUUUAUGGUCUAGUCACUUUAGCUGAUAAAGACAACAUUUUGCUGCCUUUUCUCAAUGGAUUUAAUGCAACAUUUCUUAUGUGACAUAAUCAUUACGUGAAAUUGUAUUCUUUCAGCAGAUGCUUUACAACACUUCUUCUCUAUUACAUUUUCCAGCUUCUAUGUUUUUUUCUUCAAUUUACUUCUUACCACUACUAUCUCAGAGUGAAUGUGAUCGCCACCAGACAUACCUUAUGCUUUAGGUGGUACAAUAACUGCAUACCAUAGUUCUUUCAUUUGUUGAAAGACUAAUCUAUAAUCCAAUAGAAACUGAAACCUCAAAUGCCUUUUUUUCUAUUAUUUUUGCGAGUUCACCCUUGCCUCUGUGUGAUUCUUUCUGGAGCUUUUUUUAAAAAUUUUUUUACAAGCAAAUCUCUCCAUCCUAGCAUUGACAGUGCUAAUCUCAUGCAUUUCGAGAGGGGUUCUUCUGGUAAAUCGUAAAUGAAUCUUUAGUCGGAAUUUAACUAAUUGGUUUCUUUGUUGUACAUUUUCAGGUGCAGCGCCAUCAACAACUACAGAUUUACUCAUGGAUCUUCUAUCGAUUGGAACAUCUCCUGCACAAAACGGUCCAUCAGAUUCUAAUGUUGUUCCUUCAAGCGGUAAUAUUUCUUUAAAUCAUUCUGGCGAUAACAAUCUUUAUUUAUCUCCAUAUUCCCGUCUGACGAAUGCUAUAUUUGGUUGUAGCGAAAGCAGCAGAAAGUAAACCUGCUCCUGUUACUGCUCCAGUGAUGGACUUAUUAGAUGGCUUGCCAUCAAAUGCAUCUCCUCCCAGUAAGCUCUUUUGGUGCUAAUAUUCUUACUUGGGUGCUAUGCUAAUAUUCUUUUGGUGCUAAUAUUCUUAUCAAUCUCUUGUUUUAACAGGAGAUGAGAAUUUGGUUUAUCCAACUAUUACGGCUUUCGAGAGCAGCACCUUGAAGAUAGCAUUCAGCUUCGAGAAACAACCUGAGAAACCACAAGUGACAUUGAUCAGUGCUACAUUUACAAAUCUGUCAUCAAGUACUUUGACAAAUUUCAUUUUUCAGGCUGCUGUGCCCAAGGUAUUGGAGCUGUACUUGCAUUUUAGUUUUGACAUCUUUUGCAAAUUGAACAUUCCUAAACUAAAUUCAUAUAAUUUAAUUUUAGAUUACUUAGUCAGGUUUGGGAUGGUUCUUUUACUUGAUUUCAGUUUAUUUGUUCUGUUUUGCGUAUUGAACUGCGUUGUUUGGGUCUAUUGUGGUUAGUUGGGUGAGUCAGUUGGUAUAGUCUUCUAUGCAGCAUUACCUGGCUGAUACAAAUGCCAUAUGCCCUCUGUAUUUGCCUAUAUAAUCGUUUAUUUGUUAUUCCUAAUGUAUAAAUCGAAUUUUAGUGUGAGCAACAAGGGCUAUUUUAAGCUCGGUGUUAGUUGGCAUUUCUUACUUCCACUUGACUUGCGUGGGACUAAAAAGGCCACGCCAUCUUGUUUAACAUAGCUGGUCAUCACCGUGUGGUACUGACAAUCCCAACUAUACGUUGUAGGUAGAAAUAUUUUCCAGUUGUCAUAGGUAACCGUUGCUACGAGUACUCAUGCAUGUUUUGUGAUUCUGUCCAUUCACCUUUGAUGUAAGUGCUUUAAGAAAUGGAUAGAUAAUUAUUUUGUGCAGAUGGAGGAUCUUAUAGGUUGAUUCACUUAAUGAUAUUGCAUCUUCUUUCCUCAUACAUGCAAGAGUUUCUUUUCCUUCCCUAGAGGUAUUCCUCAAAAUUAUGACCACCAAAUCUGUAUCUUUCAGUUUGUCCAGUUGCAUCUGGAUCCAGCUAGCAGCAGCACACUCCCAGCCAACGGAAAUGGGACAAUUACACAAAGCCUUCGUGUUACUAAUACCCAACAUGGGCAGGUAUUAAUAUUUGAAUUCUCUACAUCUUCUCAUGAUUCCUCUGAAAUGUCAUUAUGCGAAUAACUUUUCGCUUUCCUUUCUUUAUCAUGAUGGUUUAGAAUUUAUAGCUCUCGAACGUACAACUAUUAUGUUACUAUCUAGCAAAAGCUCAGCUGUGAACGCAACAUUCAGCUGUAAAAUGCAUCAUUGUAAGGAGCAUGGAACAGUUAAUUAGGGAGGAAAGGGUAAGAUUUAUAAAAAAGAAAUAAUUGCCUAUGUACCCUUGAAAAGUUAUUGAGUUUUGUAUUCAUCCUUUGGUUCAAAUGGACCCCUCUAAGGUUCUUUGUUUUUCUUAUACCCUUACUUUGAGGGUUUAUUUGUAAGAAUUUGGAAUUUCAGAAGGAUAGAUUUGAGCAUAGCAAUUUUUGAGGGGUAAAUAUAGAAGUCGGAAACUCUUAAAGGGUAUAUAGUCAAUUGCCCUUUGAAAACAUGUAACACACAACCAGGCGACAAAUUAAAGUCCAAACUUUUCAUUAAACAUGAUUUAGGGCUGAAUUGCAGUUAUGUGUAUCUUCAGAGAACAUUGAAAAAAAUGAAUUCUAAUAAUCAUAAAUCAUACCGAGUGAGCUUAAGCUUUACAUCAGAGUGUGACAUGGAAUAUAUUUAGAGGAAGAUACUAGAAAUUUCAAUGAUCACACAACUAAAGCACACAUCGGUAUUUCUUUUGUUUAACCAUACCAUGAACCAAAUUUUCUAACAACUUUACUUUCCAGAAACCCCUUGCUAUGAGAGUAAGGAUGGCUUACAAAUUUAAUGAUGAGGACAAGUUGGAGCAAGGACAGAUCAGCAACUUCCCUCCCGGAUUAUAGUGUUAUUUGCAGCUUGUGAGACUUACUUAGUGCGAGUUUAUGGCUGGAGAGCGGCACAGUUGUUCUCUCUUCAAUUUUCACCCACUUUUUGGUGUCACUUCGACACCCUGGGUAUUUUUCGUCGUUCAUUAUCCCUCUAUAUGUAUACUAGUCAGCAUUGUUGCGGAAUCUACUUUUACAGAAUGAAUAUCUGGGUUUAUGUACACCGCGCGUGACCUUUUUCAGGGAUAUGCAAUCAGAAAAGGACGUUUGUCAGUGUGGAACUAGUCUAGAUGAUAAUCGUCUGGAAAUGUUUUGAUAUUCUAUUUAUUCAUAAUUUGUAUUGUGUUUUCCUCGUGUAUUUUUCAGAAUUUCCAAAACAGAGUAAAUAGCUGGUUGGUUAGUAAAUUGAAUUUUACAGCAACGAGCUUGACCCUUCGCUCUAGUACUUGAUUGGUAUAUGCUUACUGUUAUUCCCAGCUUUUCUGAUUUUAGCGGAUAUGAAGACUAAACUAAUGCACAUUUGAAUCUGGGUGUGAAGUUCCUCAAAUGCUUCUUUUAUCUUUUGUCUGAAGGUGUGCCAUUUGUGAUCUGAGAUAUGGCGGAGUUGUAGUUCUAUCGUCUCGCUAGUUUGUAAUGAGUUCAGUAGUUUUAUUGCUUUUGCGUCUGAGCUGCUUUUUCCUUGGGUAAAAUUGUGUUGGCAGCCGCCAUUUUGAAGUGGUCUCCUCAACUUUAAAUAUAUUUCUUGAAACCACGCAGCUUAUAUUUUUUUUAAAAAAAUAAUUGUGACAUUAGUCUGAAUAAUUAGAGAUUUAUCAAGUUUAUUGAUGAUUUUAUUGAAUUUAAUAAUUUUAAUUAUGUUUUUGUAAACAAAAUUAUAUUAAUUGACUGUUAAUAACUAAUAUAUAGUCAUUAAAGUUAUAAAAUCUCUCUUCUCCACAAUCGCUAGAUGCAUAGCCCUCUUUCUUACUUCCUCUCCGUUCAAACUCGUUCGUCAUCUUCUCGCCUCCGUUGGACACCAAUUUACGCUUUACGAGAUCUUUUGUUGCGGCGUGCAGGAUCCCGAGGUGAUGGUGAUGCUGGUAGGGGAAUAGGAUUGGGAGUUUCUUGCGAGAGUUCGCUCUUGGUGAUUACUUUGAUCUGCUUUUCUCUUGUACUUGCUCUUUUAUUUGUUUUGGGCUUUAAUCUAAUAAGACCGAUUAAUUUGGUCUUUAAAUAUUUAUUUAUACGUCUGAGGACCGAUCUAUAUAUCUUCCCUUUUUCUUGUUUGGAGAGAUUUGGGACCAUCCACCAAUAUCUAAGGCAGACUUUAUAGUCGUGGGCUCGUGGCUAUUAUGACACUCCAUAGUUUCCGACACAAGAUAUGCUCAGGCUAACAUUCAGAAGAGGCCAGAACUAAAAACAGUAAACUUUCAGGCAGUUGGCAGACAGAUUCUACAAGAUAAUUCUAGCCAAUAAUCUCAGAUGAAUUGAGCAUUGCUUUGUGAUGAAAAAUGUGGAUUUCCAACUGAUGCAGCCAACAAUUACUUCAGACUAGAAGAAAAUUCAGAAGAGCAUCAAAUACAUGGUAAAACGUAUCCCUGUACGAUCCUGAUAAUUCUACUUGGCACCUCUUCUUCUCAAUCGAACCACCAAUAACCUUCCACAUAAUAUAGUCCUAGCGUCACAAAAUUCUUAUAAAAUGACCAAUUUAAGCUACUCGCUUCAAAUUACUUCAAAUAGGGUUCAAAAGGUUAUUCUUGAGGAAAACUUUUGAUUGUUUUGAGGGCGAGGUAAGGGACUAAAAUGCACUCUAUUUAAAGCUCGCGGUCAAAUUAGAAGUAAAAGGACUAAGUUGCAAUAUCAGGAUGGUACAGUGAUUAUCAACACACUUGAUCCUCAAAGAAUUGACUCUGUUGAGUCGGAGCAGCAAUUUUCUAACAAAACACCUCAAGGAUCUUUUACCACCUUCCAGUUGUCAAGCAGCCAGUCCAGAAACCAGUACUUUCCCCUCCUUUUUGAGGGUGCAAAAUACCAUUUUAAAAGGAAGAACCAAACACCAAAAAAGCAUUUAAAAAAAAAACAAGAACCGUUUAAUUGUUGUUGCUGUAACCCAUAUAACUGUUCCGAUACCGAAUACCGUACUGCUCAUAUAAGUGGUCCUCAUAAUUCAUAGCCCUGAUGUCCGCUCCACGCCGCUUGCUAUCCAUCUCCUGAACAGCUCCGAAUACGAUCUCAUUAUUUGAUUCAUAGCUCUGCUCAUAAUAAGUCUGUGGGCCCGAAGAGUAAUGCCGGUGAUACUGCACCUGCUGCUGCUGCCGCUGCUGCUGCUGUUGCUGAUGAUGAUGAUCUCCAUCCCACCCAUUAAAAUAAUUCGGUUGGGCGUGCCGGAGGUGGUGGAUCUUUUGUGGCUCUUUGGACAUGAAAGCAUAGGUCCUUUUAGGAUUAGGGGUUCUUCCUUCUAGUGGUGGCGGCGGCUCAUCAUCAGGGACGACAAAGCUUUCUUGAGACGGCCAAGGGUUAUCCCUAGGAUUGUAGGGCUGAGAUUGAUUAGUUGGUGGUUUCUUUUUUGAAAACAGGGAUACAGCACCAAGAAUUUGUAAUGUAGAUGAUUUGAUUCCACCAAGGAGCUUUCCUAUUGACGAAACGUAGCCACCUUCUUCAUCCUCAUGGUUUGUGGUUUCAUCCUCCGGUGGGAUUAGUGGAGGCCGGAGAGAUCGUUUCAUUGGCUUUUGGUAGGGAGGCAUGCUUGGUUUUGUAGGAGUUUGAGGUUCCUGUUAGAAAACUUCAUUGUUAGAAUUGGCAUUCAUUUAAGCAACAGGACUUUUUGGCUUCACAUCUAGCUUUGCUCCAGGGGACCUAACCAUACUGUCUUCUCUUCGUGUUCUAUUUGACUAAAACAGAGUUAGCAUUGUAUCCCUAAAUCAAAUAAUAGAUAAUAUAAUGAAGAAACAUAAAGCAAAAUUCUUUGCAGGAAACAUUCUCAGACAAUAAGAUGCAGUUACUUUCAGAAAGUUCGAGAUCCAACUGAAUAAAAUGUACAACAAAAGAUGGAAAGAAAAGAGAGAAUUUGUGAAAAGGGACAGAUUUAAUCUUAUUUUCUUGUUUUUCAACGACCAGUCGGAAUUACUGAUGGUUUAUAAAACUCAAGCAAUGCAAUUCAGCCAAAUGGAAGGGCUAUUUGGUAGUAAUGACGAGAUAGUUUUCAGGUGAAGCAUUACUGCUACGAGACACAACAACUUGUAAUUUUGUCCACUCAUCAUUAGAGUGAAAGGAGAGAAAUGUGAAGUACUCACAUUCGUGGAUGCCGAUGAGAACAUCAAUCCUACUUGCUUUUGGAGCAAAGCAAGCAUGUAACCAAAGAAGCCAGCAGCAAGGAGCACAGCAAUUCCUGCAUUACAUUUGGCCAUUGGAUUAGGAAGUACCAUUAAAGUGAAGGCCUAAAGCCUAGAAUUCUGGCCAUGAAAACCUCCAAAAAAAUGGCUCUUUUAUAACUUCCGGAAGUUUGUGCUCAGCAGAUGAUAGAACGAAAGAAGACGCUCUUAGCUAAGUUUCAGUUUCAUCCUGAAUAUCUAAGUCUAGAGUAAACUCCUCUCUGGUACAGUGCAUUUACACAUCAGUGCUCCCGUGGUUUCGUUUGUUUAGUGUAGAGUUCCUGAGGUUCCUCUUCUGUUUUGCAGCAAGGACCUUCCUGUCAACCCAUUGUAUUGAUUUUUGAUCAUGUUAUGACUAUGUUUGUGUCAGGAUUUGAUAUAAACUCAACUUGCCACUCAAAUCCAAACUCAAAUUCUGAUGGGUUUCAAGUCGAGUUUAGAUCAAAACCCACUACAUAUUAUCCCCACCCUCUGGCAUAGAUCAAAAUUGAGAGAUUCCUAUUAGACCUGUAAAAAGGUUUGACGGGAAGGUCUACAACAAAAACAAAAAUUCACAGAGUAUAUGAUUGAAUUUAGUCGAGAACUAAAGUGAGCUUAGCAAAGAUAUAGGAAUAUUGGUGUAUUCUACCUAAUUUUACUACGAAGAUGUACGUACCUAAAGGAAAACCGGUUUCAUAAUGGUAAGCACAGUCAUCGAAAUGAAGUUGGAUCUCCCGGAUCGCCUGGUUUCCUCUAUCUAUGACCAGAAGGGAACAGCUACUACCAAUGUAAACAACUUCAAAGUCGGUAGAAAAUUUUGCAUCCUCACUUGCCCCAUCGAUGUGCCCUCCUCUAUUCCAUUUUCCUCCAGCAAUGGUUGUAAUCCCUUGACAAAUAUGCAAACAAAAUAGUAAGACCAAAAUCUCUUAGGUUCUUGUAUUGUUUCUUAUUAUAUUGUUUUUCAUAGCACGACAUGGUUAAUAUGCAUACAGGGUUGAAAAUUUCACGUCAUAAAGGUUGAAACAGUAAAUUUGCUCCCCUACGAUCCAAUUAAGUUCUUCAUGUUCUCCACAACUUCAUACUAUUUUAUCUUUACUCGGACAAGAAUUUGAGCUGAAGUUUUAAUCCCCUCUUCCGAAUUCUAAAGAACUGAUCUAAUCAGCCAAUCUCUUCGCUAACAUUGUGAUCUUCCACUUAUCCACAUUUUGAUCAUUCCAUCUAAUUUUCAUGAACCUACCGAUUAUUAUUAUUAUGCAGCAACCCCAACUCCCGUUACCUGAACUCUUCUCCCAAAGUUUGAAUUGCAGGAACCUUGAAUUCACAAGAAACCACUUUUACAUCAUAUAAGAACAAAUGCUUCUUACUACCUGAAGCACUGAUCUUCCUAACUGCCAUGUUCAUUGCGUCGGCGACGUAAAUGUUUCCCUUAUCAUCUACUGUAAAUCCUUUUGGAUGGUUCAUCCUGGCUUCCCGCGGCUUCCCGUCGACGUGACCAGAAUACCCUUCUGCCGAACCGGCAACAAGCUUAGGUCUACUGUCUGCACUUCCAAAAACUUAGUUUCAGAUACAGGAAUACUUCAGACAGCCAUAAAAGAAUCUGAAGUAGAUGAUUUUUUACAGCAAAAACUGUAAUUUACAAAAAAUCGUCAAUUUGGCAAGCAAAAAUUUGUAACAAACUCACAUUUUGAUAAUGGCAACGAAACCCUAUGGAUGUUGCUAUUCGCGGAAUCCAAAAUAAGGAGAUCCCCGCUCGGACUCAUCUCCACGGCGUGAGGUUCGAUCCCGAGCUUGCUCCCGUCGAACACCGUUUCCACGGUGUACCCGCUCUCGAACUUCAUCAUCGAACGCCCAGAGAUCGCUGGUAAUUAUCUACCCACUUUAGCACCCUAAACCCUAAACCCCCCCUAUCAGCUACAAUGGAUCAAAAUCGUACCUGUUUUGGGGGACGAUUUCAGAGACCAUAGCUGCUUCCAGAGGAUCGAAAUCGCGUUGGAGAAGAGCCCACCUGCGAUUUCUACAUGUCAAAAAAAAGAAAAAUAAAAAAACCAUGGAUUCAGUACAAACUAGAUCAUGAAUCGAAUAAUAUAUAUAUAUAUAUAUAUAUAUAUAUAUAUAUAUAUAUAUAUAUAUAUAUAUAUAUAGAAUUUAAAAAGAAAAAUGGUAAGAGGAGUAGAACCAACGUGCUGGAGAAGCAGCAGAGACGGAGCAAAAGCCAUUGAGCAAAAUCGCGGUCACAAAAAGCAAAACUAAGCACUUCGUCGUCUCCAUUUCCCCUUCCGAUUAGUAAGAGUUCUCAUCUAAGCCUCUAACAAACCCAUUUUUAAAUCACUGAGGAGCAAGAGCAACUACAAUGCACGACGCCUCGGGGAAAAAACAAAAAAAACAAAAAGAAAAAGAAAAAGAAAAAGAAAAAGAAAAGCAAAAGAGGAAUAAGACAAGGAGAGAUUUGUGCUGUUCUCGCUCUUCUUUUCCCCCCCUUAUUACUCUCCGCUUGUUUUAGAGGGGAAGAGAACGCAGAGCACCGCCCGAGAAAUAAUUUGAACGCACCGGGUGCAUCAUGCACCUCACUUUCUAAGCGUAAACUACCGGUGAUUAUAUUUGAUGAAUUAAACUUUUUUAAUUGGUUUACUGGUUAUAAUGGUACACCGGGUGCAGGGAGUGCGGAAAGAGAAAAGGGUAGCAUCACGUGCCGCGGAGCCGAUGGUCGUUUAAAGAGUUUUUAUUUUGUAUAGCAUUAAAUCUCUCAAGUAUCCAAAAUAGCAACCAUUCUUUUUGCACGGGGACCAGAGAUGUCAAUCGGCACAGAUACUUAAAAUUUUAUCCGAAUUCAAAUGCAAACGAAACAGAUUUACCUGAUGAUGCUGCACAGAUAUGAUUUCAAAUAUAAAUAUUAAAAUUAAAAAUUCGAUGAAUAUGAAUUUUGAUUUUAUCCGAUCCGAACCUGAACCUGACCCAAAUUUAUUUUAUAUUAUAUAUAAUAUGUAUAUAAAAAUUUAAUAUUAUCUUUGAAUUUAUAUUUUAAAAUUUAAUAUAAUAUAUUUUGAAAUAUUGAAAAAAAAAAUUAUUUUGGGUUCGAAUUUUCGAGUUUAGAUUUUAAAUUUUUAGUCAAAUUUAGAUUUAAAUAUAAAUUUUUAAAAUUCGUCAGAUUCAAAUUCGAAUUUUAGUUUAGAAUCGAAUUCUGAUACGAAUUUUUAAAUAUUUGCCCAGAAUCUGAUCCCUACCUGGGGUUAGUGGCUCGGUGGGAAAAAGAUGGAAGGGGGGAGGGGGUUUGGGACUACUACAUCCCUUUUUCUAUUUUUAAUAUUUGGAUCACAGUUUGUCACAGAUUUCGAGGUGGGUUACAGGUUUUGGUUUUUUGACUUUUUAAGUUUCAAGGUAAAUGCAAGAUAUUAUAUUAUUCUUCGUGUAACUUUUGGACUUUAGUGGUCAAUCAAUUAUAUAUGAAAUUAUCGUCGCUAUCUAGUAAAAUUUGUUGGUUUCUCAUAUAAGAACUGAUUAAGAAGUCGACAAUUCAAUCUUUUCAAUAAUCUUGAUAAAAUUCAAAGCAUAAAACUAUGCCCGUUCCAGAAAAGUGGAAUGAGCAUUUUCAUUUUAAAGCAAGAAUUUAAAUUUAAACUAUUCUACUUUUAUUAUAAAAAAUAAAAUAUAUCUUUAUGAGAUCAUUAUUAAUUUUUUUUGAAGUAUCUCUAUUCAAAUUUGUGCUUCCGCUAAGACUUUACUACAAAAAUAAGCAAUUAGAUAUCAACAUAAAAACCAACUGCCUCUAGCGUAAGUGAUAAAGGGUUUAAUGGUUAGUACCCGAAGUUUCAAGUUCGAAUUUUAGUUGAUUUAUAUUUUCAACUAAAUUUAUCUCUAAAUGAAAUAAACGAAACGGGUAGAUGCCUGCUUUGAGUAGUAUUAGAUAGCAUUCAUUCGAAUCUCAAAAUAUGGCUCCGCACAUUAGGUGGGGACUUAGAACUGCCUCUGAUAGCAUAUUAUCCUGCGGGGGAUGUGCGAUAAAAACAUACAUGAAUAGAUGCCUGCUUUGAGUAGGCAUGAUCUUCUGGAUCCAACGGUUGAUCGUAUAAAUGAACCGCUUAGAUUAGCUUGCCUCGACACUUCAAAAUACUAACCACCUUUAUUCCAGGAGCCUCAAUGUGCCCACCAUAAUAUUUAUAAUAAUUCCUGGUGAAUAUAUUCCUCUCUUUGCGCCACUCCUUUUCCUUCAAUUUUUUUUUUUUUUCCCUUCUUAGUACUAAUAAUAAUUGCAUGUAUUCUUUGUUUGUGAGUGGUCUUCAGUGGAUCCAGGCUCCAGCUGCUUUUUCUGUGUCUCUGAUAGAUAUAGAUCUUCUCAUGCACCAAAGUCAAAAGAAUUGUUUGUUUGAAUAGUCGAUUCCUAAGGUGGUUAUUUGCAGUUUAUAUAAAAAUCAUAUUGGACUUAACUUUUGUCUUGAUUCCAUAUUGUUAAGAUGUAUUGCUCUUGGUAGUGUUAUUCCUCUGGGUUCAUAUUGGUUCUUUUUUGUUAAAACUAUGUAGAAUUAGUUGGCAAUAUGAUCAGUCUUAGAGAAUCUGAGGAGCUAAAAUAAAAAGGUCCACAAAGAAGACAAGUUUUCAUACUGGGCAGAAGGUAAGUCUUUAUAUACAUUCACAUUCCAACAAGUUAAAAUAACUAAGUAUCAAAUUGAUCAUUACACGGAUAAAACUGUUAAAUAAGAGAUCCAGUCUAUCUACAGGACAACCAAAAACCUGUACAGAACAACAGCAGGUCGACGCCUCACCCAGAAUUCUUCGACAACUUGCUCCUUUUGUAUCAAAAUCGCUUAUAAUUUCAUCAUCUUUAAUACACAGUUAGAGUCGUCAAUCUCGAACCAAAGUUUGAGCUGAGAAAGCCGGAAUGCCAUCGCUUAGAUAAAGCGAGACGAAGCUUAAUCAGCCAACUCAAGCGGCACGUCAAAGUUAACUCGACUGACGGCAAUAUUGUCAUUUUGAGUUGAAAUGGCGGCGAUUCUUUUCAACAACUUUAACACUUCACUGGUAUCAUCUACAAAGUACUUUGCCUUGCUCGGCUUUUGGCCGACCGUGCAUGCAAAAACUUCCGGGACAAUGGGAAAAAGGCUACUUGAGGCAGUACUAUUAAUGGUUUCAAACAUGUCCUCGUCAGAUCGAUCAUCACCGAUACACAUCAAAAGAUCAGGAGGCUUCCCGUCACAGAGCAUUGUUCUGAUGAGCUUCUCCACAACCAACCCCUUACUAACUCCCUACAAGUCAUCAUAUUCUUAUAUUUAAGUUCUUAUCCACAUUUACGAAGGUUCAAAGAGAUGUUACAAAUACGUACCUGAGGUUUAACUUCGACAAUAUGUUGACCCCUCUUCACAACCACUGGCUCAUUUGCAAGCACACUCUCAAGAUGGUCCAGUAGCUCCUUAGCUUGGCAUGAACCAAAGUCAUGGUCCGCGUACUGGUAAUGCCACACAAGUGCACUCUCCUUGGUUUCUAUAAAGGAGCCAUCAGUUGUUUCAGAAUAGAGCUUCAUUACAGGUUCGGCAAUCUUUUUCCACUCAGAGCCAAGAGCAGAUGAACUAGUUUCCCAGUCAGCUUCUUUACUCCACCUUUGGGGAAACAAAGCAAAUUUCAUCAAACUGUCAAAAUUAGAAGCUAAAAUGGUAACCAACUGCGUUUCAAUUCAUUACAUACCUGAUAAAAUAGCCGUGUUCAGCAGCUAUACCAAGGCCCUCGCACGAAGCAAACCACUCACCAAGAGAAGUCCAUCCUCUCCCACUAACAAUAAAUACAGUGUUCUUUGGGUCACCGCACAGAUUGUUCAGCAUAGAAAUGAUGUCCGUACUCGGAAUUUUACUAAUAGACGAUUCAGGCAUUAUAGUGCCAUCAUAGUCGAGAAAUAUCGCCCUUCUAUUAGCCUUCUUAUAAGAGGGAACAAUGUGAUCCAGAGACAACUUCCUAAAACCAUGAGAAAGGGAAACAACUCUAAAUCCUAAACCAAACCCGAUAGCCCAACACCUUUGAUUAUAGUGGUCCUUGCACGCCCUCUCGAGAUCUUGCAAAAAGCUUCUGGCCCAGUAAGCAAUAUUGUGAGAACUGACAUAGCGAUAAUGCUUUUCAUGACGUAACUGCUUCUCAGGUUCUCCUAAAUCAGUUGCUUGAUAGAAAGCAUCAGCCACAUCUUCGACACACCAAGGAUUCACCCGAAAAGCCCCACUAAGAGAAGGAGAGCAACCGACAAAUUCAGACACUAUAAGGGUGCUUUUGUGACGGAAGUUAGCAUCAAUACCUCUGCACUUAUCCAUCUCCUCAGUUCCCUGUCUACAAACUAUGUACUCAUAUGGAACUAAGUUCAUGCCAUCCCUAACAGCAUUCACAAUGCAACAUUCGGCUGCCACAUAGAAAGCGAUUUUCUCGUAGAAAGGUAUUGGGUAGUCAAUAAGGACCACAGGCUUGUAGUUUGCGGUACCAAAACAUUGAUUGACCCUUUCGGCUAUAGAAAUUGCUUCCUCUCUUGCUUCCUUAACAUCUUUUCCUGCGCUUCUUGCAGGGUUAACAAUUUGUACAAGGACUACUCCUCCUCUAAGCUUAGGGUUCCUUUCUAAUAGAAGCUCAAGCGCCAGCAAUUUGAGACUGAUACCUUUAAAGAUAUCCAUGUCAUCUACACCUAAAAGUAACGUUUUACCCUUGUAUCUCUCUUCAAUUUCUCGGACCUUAUUUACUGUGGCAGGUAGUUGUAGAACUGAUUCGAGACGGCCUAUAUGAACACCGACAGGGAGAAUCUUAAUGCUCACUGUUCGACCAAAGUACUCGAGCCCAAUAUAACCGCGUUUUGACUCAUAAUUUAUCCCUAACAUUCUACUACAACAAGAGAGAAAGUGACGGGCAUAAUCAAAUGUUUGGAAACCUAUUACGUCGGAAUUAAGCAAAGAUUUCAGGAUUUCAUCCCUAACCGGCAGCGUCCUGUAUAUCUCUGCAGAGGGAAACGGGCUGUGAAGGAAGAAACCAAGCUUGACCUGGUUCAGUCGUUUCCUUAGAAAAGUUGGGAGAAGCAUAAGAUGGUAGUCAUGAACCCAAACAUAGUCAUCAUCGGAAUUUAUCGCCUCCAUUACUUUAUCAGCGAAGGUUUUAUUGGCUGAAACAUAGGCUUGGAACAGAGAACGAUCGAAGAGUUCACCUUUGUCGAGGCAAAUCGGUAUCAUGUAAUGGAAAAGAGGCCACAGUUGCUGCUUGCAGAAGCCAUGGUAGAAUUUAUUUUGAAGUUCAGGAGAAAGGAAGGUGGGUAUGCACCUUAGCUCCUUUAGAAGUUUUUGGGCAACAUUCUCUUGUUCAUCAGGAUCUAUAUCAACCUUAAGACUACCUACGUAAAUUACUUCAAAAUCAGCAGAAAAGCCAUCUUUCAGUUGCAGCAAGAGUGAGUCUUCAUCCCAUGUGAAGCACCAUUCUCCUGUACUUUGAUCCUUUACAGAGUUCAACGGAAGGAAGUUAGCAACUAUUACUUUGCGGUUUCGAGACACUGAUCUCGAACUACUUAAAUCCUCAUCAUUCUUAGUAUCCUCAUCAACAUCAGUUAUAAUUCCAGGAGCUGUUAUUACACGCGGAAGCGAUUUCACAGCUUGACGGAAGUCGAACACAUCAUCAGAACACCCAUCAAGAAGAUUUGCAGAGGACUUCGAGGCCAUCACUGUAGCAGUUCCUAAAUUUGUGAGCAACACAUAAAACUGAAAUAUCUUUUGGAUGUAUGAACUAUGAACUCAGAAAUUGAUACCUGAAUCUUUCUAAAUAUUUAUACAAGUCUCAACAAAAAACUUGAUCCAACUUCCUGUAAUUGAAGACCUGCGGACACAAAAGACAAUAACGACAAAUAAACAAGGGUGCAAAGUAUUAUUCCCACGUGUCAAAAGUGACUUUCACGACAAAACAAAAGGCAGUUGCGUUCAUAAAGGCAGGCGCAACCAACGCUGCCAAAAAUGAAAGUGGUCAUUCCGCUCUUAUACUUCAGAUGGCUAGCGUAGAAAAAGUAAAUUUGACAAACAUAUAUCAUUUAUGACAAAGUAUGGUUGCCAAAAGAACUGGACUUCCUUUAACGCGGACAAGCCAAUAAUAAUUUUACGCACGUGAAACAAGCCAACAUACGUACAGACAGCAUGCACAUGCACGUAUCCACGCACAACAUGGGGGGCUUCACGCCAGGAAGAGAGAUGGAGGCGUUUGCAUGGACUUAGACUUGAUGCCAAAUCUGACUUGUUGAAAUGCAAAACCAACGUCUGCUAACCAAACAUGUAAUCCUAGAAACACAUAAAUCUAUAUACACACUACUGACAUUAUAAGGGAAUACAUCCAAAUUACUUAUGUUCGUCUAAUGAGACCAGUGUUGUUCAGUCUCUAGUACAUUAAGGAAACGUUUUACUCACUCGUGCAUGAUCGCAGCCAUCUAACACUAAUGAAACACAUCAACAUCUAUUUCCGAUGAUAUCCCUCGCUCCGUUAAACCUAUUUUCAGUUAGGUUGAUAGAUCAUCAUAUCCCUUUCUCCUUUCCUACCAGAACAGCGACAAAUCUCGGCUAACAAUUAAUAGGAACAAAUGACUAAAACCUUCCUCAGAUGAUACUACAAGCACAAAAAAGAUCCAUCCAACUUAUAUGUCAAAAGAGCAGAAUGAAACUCAACCAGGAACAACAUAAAUCUUUGCUGAAAUAACUGCAAAAAUCUAAACAACUUCAUGAAAUUUUUAAACAAACCCAAUCUUCAAUCUAACACAAAAGACUACCACAAAGAAAUUGCUAGAAUCUGAAUCAAGGGAUAUGAACUACUAACCACCUUUAUCUGAUAAAAAUAACUCGCAUUGGAGUUAUCACCCAGAAAUAGAAUUACAUGGAUUCUUAAAUUCCAAUAAUUGCAUGCGUAUAUUGAUACACAUUUUCUACAAAUAGAAAACCUGGAAAAACCACAUUUGCUACAAAAGGAAUCCAACGAUCUUGAACUUAUCCAAAACGCUACUGCAAAAUCGACCAGGAAAACGAAAUAAACGAGAACAAAAAAAAUGGCACAAAAACAUCAGAAAGGACUAAAUUUGGUACGAGAUAGAUACCGAAUUUGAUGAAAAGAAAAUUGAUCACCUUCAAAAAGCUUUUUUUAUGUAUCCAAACACCCAAAGAACGCAAAUUUAACAAUACCCAGAACGAAAAAAAGGCAGAAACAUCUAAAUUAACAAAUGUAGGUAAAAAAAGAUGGCAUAAGAACCAUACCAAACUUGAUGAAACUAAUAUUAAUCACCACAAAGAAAGCGUUUUUACGGAUCAAAACAUCCAAAGAUCACAAAUUUAGGGAGACCCAAAAAGGAUUAGAAGCAAUGCGAUCUAAAUUGGCAUGUAUAGGACAAAAUGGUAGAGAUAAUCACCUCGGAACUGAUUCCGUAGAUCGAAAAUGACAACUACUAUGCGGAAAAUUCGCUUCUUUUGGAUUUGGGUUUCUCUUUUCGUUUGGUUUCUUCUUGAAUACGAGCGAGAAAGAGAGAUAAAAGAGCGAAACAGAGAGAGAGACGUCGAAGUGGAGGACGAGAUAUAUUGGAAAGUUACUUGAGUUGUUAUGAUCAACUCGGGUUAAGUUUUUUUUUUUUUUUUUUUUUUUUUUUUUUUUAACCUUUGCCCUUGGUUAAGGUUAGAAUUUACUAUUCCCGCAACUAAGGAAUGCCUCUUCACUACAACUUUUUUACAAAAUUGCCAUUAUUGGUUGGGUUGGGAUUCUGUAUUUUGAUAUUACUUGUGUUUAUAAAUAUAAAUCUAAUUUAAAAGGUUUAUAAAUAUAUUUUAGAGUAUGUUUGUGGGUUUGUGGGUUUGUGGGUUUGUGGAAGCCAAAUAGAUGUAGAAAAUAUCAAAUCUCCAUGUUGAUCUUUUUGAAGAAUUUUUUUUUAUGAUGUAAAUCUACAGUUUGGUAUUUAGUUCAAAAUAAGAUUUUGAUUAGUGGUGCUUUAAUUUCUAGAAUAACUCAUUCUCUAUUGUGAGUAAUUUAAUUUCUUUUAUAAAAGCUUGUCUUAUAAGUCUCAUAUAUAAUUAUUUUUAUAAACGUAUUAUCAUACCUUUUAUUAAAAAGUGUGAAAUAAGAUGUUCAUACAUGUAUUAAAAAUGACCAUAACAAAAUAUACAGUAAUAUUUGGACAGAUCACCGGUCGUUCCUAACGCAAGUGGCAAAGGUCUUAAUGGUUGGUAUCCAAAAUACUAAAUUCGAAUUCUAGUUGAUUCACAUUUUUCAGCUAAGUUUAUUUUUAAAUGAAAUAAACGAAGUAGGUAGUAUACAAUCUAUUUCUCAAAAAAAACUAUAAAAAUUAUAGACUCAAUUAUUCAAUAGAUAACAAAUAUGAAACUACAACAAACUCUUCAUUUAGUAUAUUUAAUUAAAUUAUAUUAUUAAAUUGAAUAAAUAAUUUAACUAAAUUUGUUAGCAAUUUUGUUAAAAUUUUAUUAAUCUUAACAAUUUUUCAAUUUCACUAACUGUCCCUAUCGCAAGAGGCAAAGGACUUAUUUGUUAGUACUCAAUAUCUUAGAUUCGAAAUCUAAUUAUUUCAUAUUUAAAAUUAAGUUUAUUUAAAAAAAAAAACAUUCUUCAAAUUCAAGUCGCGACAAAUAACUAAUAUAUAACCAUUAAUAGUAAUAAAUGAAGAUGACUCAAAAUUUAAAAAUAUCAAAUCACAAAAUAAAAAUUUAUACUUUCAAAAUGAACCUUCAUUUUGAAGUGCUCUCCACAAGUAAGGGUUGAAUAGUCUUUAAGUAUUGUGGAUAAGAUAGGCUAAAAGGGUGUGGGACCAUACAUUACACAGUAAAAGUUAUUUACAAUUUCUUUUCAUUUCAUAUCUCCUGGUUAUGGGGGGGUUCGCCCACGACACCUGGAACACGCUUCCAAAACGCUCACUCUUUUUACAGAAAACGGUACUACGCCACGUAGAACCUAUUAAUGCGUAAGAUAAAUAUCUAAACAAAAAACCAAUGUAGUAACAUUAAUGUAAUAAAAAUUCAGUCAAUUUGCAUGAAAAUUUUACCAAUUUUGGGAUUUUGUAAAAGAUGGUUCACUGUUUUGAAUUUUAUAGAUUCAGUUUGAAUUUUUAGUAAACUGAUCAAAAUAUUAUUAUUUUUUCUCUCUCUCUGUUUUUUAUUGGUUUGUUUUUCUUUUUCGGUCCAGUUCGUCUCUGUCGUCAUUUCUUUUCUCCUUCUCCUUCUCUUUCACCGUCUCAUAUUGACGCUGCUCUCUUUCCUUUUUUUUUUUCGCUCGUUCUUUUUUCUUCUUCCGCUCUGGUUCAUCUCCCUUUGCGUUGUUUCUUUUUCUUAUUCUUCUUCUUCUUCUUUUCACGCUUUCUCUUCUUACUUUUCCUCCUUCACCAUCCGCACAUCAACACCACACUCCGCUCUUUAUCUCGCCCACACCUCUGUCGACGUUGAUUUGAAUAGAUCUUGAAGGUGAGCAUGCGGCAGAGCGCAUGAUCAGGGAUGGCAACAACGACAAGAAUACCGAAGGAUUUAAAAACUUGCCUCAAUUAUAAACUAUGUUGUUUCAACAUUCGACCUUUCAAACUUUCAUUUUAGCUCCUCAUAUUUUAAUUUAUUAUAUUUAAAUUGUUUAGAGACUCUUUCAUUAAAAAAUUUAGUUUAAUUAUUUAUUUUAAUAAUUAAGUAAUAUAUAUCAACUAAAUAAUGCAAAAAAAGCCUUUGAGAUAAAUUCUAGGCAAAGCUGUAAAAAGCACCCAUGCACUUUAACACAAGUCUCAAAUUACUUCUUUAUAAAAAUUUGCAUCUCAAAUAAAUAUAAUUUUUUAAAAAAAUUAAUAGAUUAUGCUGUAAAAUUCAACGAAGAUAAAUUGACAUAUCACAUUAUUUCACAUCUCAGGAUAUAUCCAAUUUGAAACUCAAAAAUAUAUAAAAAUUCAAAUAAAGGAUAUUUUCUAUUUUGCUAGUACUAUCAAAAUUGAAAAUUUAUUGAAUAAUUUAUUUAACUUAUAUAAUUUUAUUGUAUUUCUAAUAAAUAAAUUUUUUCGCAAAUUUAUUUUUUCUAAAUUUUUAUAACUGAAUUCAAUAAUUAUCCCGCACAACUAAAUCUAUUUAAUAAUAAUUAAACAUAAAAUUAUAAUUUUAUUAAAAAAAAAGAUAAUUUACUU